rnacentral:lncRNA from 1 species
AUCCACCAUGAAAUCAAGUUUUCUUCACUUUCUUUUCCAUGUUUUCUUUUCCUUUCUUCUCCAAACUUCUUGAGCACUAAAUUUACAGCCUUUAACCCCAAUUUCUAGCACAUCUAAACCCUAGGAAGAGAAGAAAGAAAAAGAGAGAAAGGAAGAAAAAAGCUUGGUUUUGGUGAUUCAAGCAAGGAACGGUAAGAAUUCUUGUUCUUGGCUUGAGUAGUUUUUGAAAUGAGUUAGUGACUUAGAGAAAUGUCUUGUGGUAGCAAAGAUUGGCUUGAUUGGAGAAAAAUUGAUAACAUGUAAGCCAAUAAACCCAUGGGUACAUGAAGGACUCAAAGUGGAAAAGAAAACGGAAGUGCAAAGAUAAGGUUGGAGUACUAUGGUGGCGUGCUGGAGUAAACAUCAAGCGACCGAACAGUGAAAAUAAUUAGAGACACCUCCGAUCAAAUAGCGAUGUAAUAUCCCGUUAUCAUAAGGUGAGUGAACUUGCCAAAAAUGUUUUAGGAGUAAGGCACAUGUGGUUCAUUGAGACAUUUUAAUUGUUUUUCUAUAAAAAGGCAUGGGAACAAGCCUUUAGUGAAAUGUUUUUGUGAUGUGGAAUAUGAUUAUGAUGAAUCUAUGUACCUCUAUAUGAUACUGAUAUAUACAUAUAAAAAAAUAGUAAAAUAUGAUAUGUAUUGUUAAGUAUUUUUGUGUAAUUGAUGUAACCGUGCAUGUGCGAAGUGGGCAGUGCACAUGCUGAUUGAAUGACAAUGUUGUGACAAUUAAGACCAUGUAUGUGUGGAGUGGGCAGUGCACAUGCCAGUUGAAUGACAAUUGUAAAACCCGACCCUAUAAAUACAUGUCAUAACAUACAUGCACUGAGUAGCAUGUUAUUAUGCUAGGAAAGUUCCUAAGAAUAGAUGAAACCCGAUAUUGUACCUAACGGUACACUUGAAUUGAUUUAACCUCGAACUAGUUCAAAUAGGAAUCGUAGGAUGAAAUUUAACAUUUUAUAGUCAAGGAAUGACUAAAAAUGAUUGUUCGGAGUUCGAGGGUUCAUUUGGGGAAAAAUUGAAAAUUUUGAUGUUUAGGGGCAAAAUCGUAAUUUUUCCACCCAUGGACAAAAUUUGAGAUUUUGAGAGAAUUUAGAUCAAAUUUGACAAAUUGGAGAAUGGUAUGAGUAUAAGGGAUGAAAAAUAUGUCUAUGGGCAAUUUUUCAAUUUUUGGGACAAAAAUAUAAUUUUUGACUUUUAUUGGGGCAAAAGUGUAAAUUUUAAAAAUUACUCCACCAAGACUUUGGAUAAGCCUGAGAAUUUUAUCUAAGCUAUGGAUAUGUGGGACAAGUGUAUGGUGAAAAUUUUGAAACAAAUGGAUGAAAUUUUCAAAACGGACCAAUUGGAAAGUGACACAUGGCAUUUUUUAAAAAUGGUUUAAUAUUAUUUUAAUGAAAAGUCAGCCCAUUUAAACCCAAAUUUUAAGUGCUGGCCGGCCAUAAGGAAGAACAAGAGAGGAAAUAGAGAGGAAAGGAAGAAAAAAAGAAAAACCAAAGAGAAACAAGAAAAUUCAAAGGGAAAUUCGCGGUUUUCGACCGUUUACGCGUCUAACGGUAAGAUUUUUCGAUUUUAGCUUGAUUUCUACCUUUCCUAUGCCUUUAUUUCCAUUUAGCAUGCUUGAGGAGAGAGAUCAAAAAGUGAUAUCAAGGGCUGGACGAAAUUCUAGGGGAGAGAAAUUGAAAUUUUUAGGUUUUGAUUUUUAGUUAAAUUGAUAGUUUUAGUUAGUUAAAUGUGUUUAGAAAUUAAAUUGGGCAAGAAAUCAUUAAAUUUUCACAAUACCCACUCUUGGCUGGAUGCUCAAUGCUGUACAAUGAUGAUGAAUUGAUUUUAUUCUAAGGGAAAUGAAGAGAAAAUGAUGAAAAACGAUUAAACGUGAUAGAAAAACAAAGUAGAAAAUUAACCGAGUUAAUGUCCCAUUUUUGGCCGAAUUUUCCAAGGAAGGGAGUGAGCUGAUUUUGUUGUUUUUAGAAGGUUAUUGGCUGAUAUUUAAUGGUUAGAAAUGUUGGAGAGAGAAUGGGAUGAUUUAGAGCUAAAAUGGAGCGCGUUAGCAAUUUAUCGGGCAAAGUGCCAAAAAUAGGUUAAUACCGCGUUUAAGCCGUUUUAGGCUAUUGCAUUUCAUACCAUGCAUUAGUAUAGGAUUUAAGUUAAUUAUAUAGUGAUUUAGCAUCAAUGUGAUGAAUUGUGUAAAUUUUUGUAAUGUGUCUAGGAGGAGAGCCUUCCGGAAAAGGCAAAGAAGUCGUACCCGACGAGUAGUGAUCGGGGCGCUUAGAAAGCUUUUAGUUUGUACAAACGGUGAGUAAACUUAUUAUUAUUGUAAAUUAUCUAGAGUUUAUUUUAAAUGCCCUUUAUGUAUUUUAUGAAAUGAGAACGAGAUUAAAACGGGAUUUUUGAUGUUUUAGGAAUAAAUGUGACAAAUAAAAAUAUAUUGUAUUGAUUAUGAAAUUGAGUAAUUGGAGGCUACAAAUUGACUUGAAAAAUAUAUAUUUUCCUAGGAAUGGCUUAUGAGAAAUGAGUAUAUGUGGCUAUAUUUUGUGAGUGCUUUGGGAAAUUUAUGUAAGUUGGUUUUACUAUGCAGGCUGGAUAAAUAAAUAAAAGCCACGUUAUACUGUCGAAAUUUUAUUAAAAUUGGUGGGUUAGUCACUGCAGUGACGGGUUUCCGUGGACUGCCUAUUAGAGGGGCACGGUAAACCCAGUUAUAUAGUUACUCCGGUUGUAGAGGCGAGGAGGGUAACUCCCGGGGUAGUAUUAGAGCUCACUUCACGUCGAACCCCCACGUGAAUGUGUAACUCGGCCAACGCCAAGGAACGGCUGGUUUUAAAAAUAAAAAUGUGUUUCACGUGUGAAUAUUUUAACACCCUUGGCGGACUCGGUUAGAUGCCUCGGCCAAGGUAUCCCCGAGGAUUAGUUUUGGCUUGAGCCUUUUUUUAAUAAAAGACAUAAGCCUUAACAACUGUUUUGGUAAAUUACAAAUAUUUUAUGGUUUAAGAAAUAAAUUGAAAACCUUAUGAAAUGGUUUGUAAUUUGUUGUUUAAACUUGCCUCCAUGUUACUCGCCUUUAGAUAUUUAUGAUAAUGUCUGUUUACUCAUUGGGAUUGCAAAAUCUCACCCACCUCCUUUCCAAACAUUUCAGGUCUGUGGUAGCUUGUAGAUACCCUAUUUUGUCGAGGAUUCCAGUUGACAUCUCUACCACACAGACAGUAGGUUUCUAGCACCAACACUGGGUGUAUUUUGGGCCACUUGUCAUUGUAACCAUUAUUGUACAUUAUAACUUUGUAAAUUUUUGUAUGUGUGAAUUUAUUUUACUUACACGUUACAAAAGAUUUCUUACACGUGUUUCUAUAAAUAUUGUUUUAUAUAAAAAAAUACUAUAUUUUAAUCAAUAUUUUGAAUAGUGAUAUUUAUCUAUAAAUCCUUUUAAAAUAUUUUUGUCUUUUGAUUUACUUGAGCAGGAAACUACUGGAAAUUGUUUAAAAUGGAAUGUUUAAAAACAAUUGCUCACAGAAACGGCAAGAAACUGAUAUGUAAGCCUUGCAGGGUUCUGAUUGGCAUUUCGGGUAAUGAGUGUCAAUUGAGACGUCGCGACGGUUGUCAUGGGCCCGAGGGAGGUUCCGGGUCGCGACAACAAUGUUGUAACAAUUACAACCGUGUAUGUGCGGAGUGGGCAGUGCACAUGUCGACUAUGAUAUGCGUGCAGGGAGUGCACGUUGGCUGAGUGAGGUGGUGGUAUUCGUGUUUAUAUAUAUAUAUAUAUAUAUGUACAUGUGUAAUAGAAGGUUUAUGAAUAUAGUACGUGGUUGUAAUGUAUGUGGAAUCUUGCAUGUUGAACAUUGAAAGUUGUUAAGUAUUUUCAAAUUGAUGUUUAUUGCAGCGAAAAAUGUGCUGUCACGUUGCUACCUUGCUUGGGUUCUGAUAUAAUUUUUUUUCACUCCUCUAUCUUCACGAUUGAGCAUGGGUCUUUGCAACAUUAAGAGUUUACUAAUCAAUGUUCGAAACAAGGGGUUUAAGAAAGAAAUUAAACUAAAUUGCAUUUUUUUCAAAACAAGUACAUCAAGAUUUCUAAACCUUCCUUAACGCUGCUUGUUCCCUUCCUAUGUUCACUAACUGAGUUUGUACUCAUGUUUUCAAAAUUCAUGUUUUAGGUUUCCUAAGUCAAAGGUGGUUGGAUCCUGGGAUGAGGUGUUUCUCCCUAUCCAUAGCUCAGUAGGUUUACCAUGACAUUAAAUGUUAGCAAUUGUGUCCAGAGUCACUCUGCUGACGGUCAAGUUCUAAUUAAGUGUAUAUGAAUACUUGUUGUGGAAUGAUGAGGUUCAUUUGUUAAACUAUAUAUGUGUAUUAUGGUUGAUGAUGCCAUUCUGAAUAUCAUAAUUGGGUUUUAUGAAUUGUUUUCAAAGGGACUAUAUUUGAACAUUAUGAAUCUUGGAUUUUAAAGGGAUAUGAAUUACUGUAUAAGAUUAUACAAAGAGGCUUUCUUGGGCUUAGUGGGCUAAGCCCAUUGGGCCCUCGCACCGGUCAUGGCCCAGAAAUUGGGCUGUGACAAAUACAUACUAGGAUAUUUAUAUAUACAUAAUACAAUGAAAAGUCUUUUUAAAACUUGGGUUCAUUCACAACUCAUUUACAUUUAUAAAAUAGUAUUGGAGAAACAUAUUCAUCAUCAAACUAUUCAAAUCAUGCUUUCAACUUUACAUACUAAAAUAGUUUGAAAGUGGUGUACCCACUCGUACCCACUCAUGUCAAAAAGUUGACUAUAAUCAACAAGCACAACUUACUCCAGCAAAUUCCUUUGAGUUUCAAUUGUUCUUAAACAUCCAAUAAUCCUUGCAAUCAAUAAUUAGUAUAGGAAUCAAGGACUAAGCAUACUAAGUCUUUCGAAGCUAGUCAAAUUCAUCUAAACCUAAAUUUUCAACUUAAAUUUACUACUCUUCAAAUAUCCAUAUAUUUAAAGUUCAAAACUCAUCAUUCUUAUCUUAAGUGAGCUCUAAUCAAUGAGGAAAGGUCAUCAAAUCCUUUAAUUUGAAGUAAUCAAUAAAUCUAGAACAUUAAAUAACAUUUUUAGAGCUAGAAACCCAUGAUUUAAAGAUUCAAAGAGUGGAAAAAAAUCACCUUUGCCGUCAAAAAUCAAAAUCUAAGCUUUAAUCUUCCAAAAUGAUGAUCCUUGAUAAAAAUGGGUUGGGAGUGGCUAUGAGGUGAGGGAAAUCUAAUGAAAAUUGGUUUGGAGUGAAAAACCCUCAUAGAAAAGGUCUUAUUUAUACUUUGAAGUGUAAAAAAUACUCAUUUACCCUUUUUUAUUUUUCAAAAAUUGAUGUAAUAUAUCGAGACAUUUGGCCAUGUAUCGAUAGAUUUAGUUAUGGAUGAAAUUUAUCCAUACAUUUGGCCAUGCAUCGAUAGAUGUUCAUCAGAAUCCUUUUAAAUAGCUCUUUACAUGAAAUCUGAUUACUGUCAAAAUUCACAAGAGUUAGGGGUGGUGCUUGUGUCACUUACACAGUUGACCUUAUCUCCAUAUGCAAUUGGAGUCUCACAACUCUUUUGCUACAUGUUUCUAAUAUCAUCAUGCAUAUCAUGACCUCUAAGCUAAAGCAUAAAAUUUAUGUAGUUACUUAUACAAACAAUGUUAGACACCAUUCUAAUGUGACUAUAUUACCACAUGCUAGAAAUAAAAUCAUCACCAUCCAGUAAAAGCUCGAUCAAAUCAGAAAAAUGAAUUGCAUAAAAACAAGAGGCAAAUAUUGAACAUAAUUUCAUGCUAUUUGUUUGAAUCCAUAAAUGAGAGAGAGAUUCAACAUAAUUUUAAAGAUAUACAUGUUUAUGAAUUUACAAAUGCAAACAUAAAUUAUAAUAACAAUUAAGUUAACCAAUAAUAUAGUAAAAAAAAUAAAGGUAAAAUACCCUUACACCCCUAAGUUUUAAUCGAAAUUCCAAAUUGAUCUGUUAGUUUUCAAAAUGGACACUCCACCCCAAAAGUGUAAACAUCGUUAACAAAGAUAAUAAAAGGAACUAAAUGUCCUUUUUUUCAUUAUUAAUUUAAAAAAUUAUUAUUAUAUUUCUUUCAAAAAACAACUAAAAAAAGGGAGCACCGAUCGGUGCUCCCCAGUUCCCCAAUGGAGGGUAGCAAUGAUCGGUGCUCCUCUUUUUUUUAAUUAGUAAAAAACUUAAUAAAAAUUAUGUAAUAGUAAUUUUUAAAAUUAGUAAAGGGUAAAAUUAUCAUUUCAAUAUUGCCAAAUCAUCAAACUAAUGGAAACACUAAAGGUAGACUAACAAUUGGACCUAUGUGUCCAACAAAAGAUAUUUUUUUGAGGUGGAGUGUCCAUUUCGAAAACUAAUGGACUUGCUUGGAAUUUCGAUUGAAACUUAGGGAGUUGGGGUUAUUUUACCAAAAAAAUAAACAUAGAGUUAGAACCAACCUAUACAUCAUGAGACUUUAACUUGAGAUCUCGAGGUACUUAGCUUAGAGAUUCAGAAAUCAUACAAAUAUAUAAAAAAAGAAAUUCUAUUAUAUUAGCAAAUCUCAAAAUUGUUUACACCAAAUAGAACGAUCUCUUUAUUUCAUUUAAAAGUUUUUCUCUAAUAUUUCUUAUCAUUUUUUCCUGUAAAAAUCUCCAAUCCUCACAUUCUCAUACCUUUAGUUAAUUGAAUCAAUCUAUAUUUAUAUGGUUAGAAAUGACUUGCUUAAGAAGAAGCCCUAUCUUUUUUGGUUUUUAUAUAAUGAGACUUUUUUAUCCCUCAUUGGAGUUGCAAAAUAGUUAAUCAGAAGAACUUUGACUCAAAUUGGAUAUCAAUCAAAUAUUUUUAUGACUAAGACUAUUUGACCCAACACUCUUGGCCCUCUUAAUAUCGUAAAAUUUAAAUAAAUAAUUUAAAGAUAAGUUUAUCAACUUAUGACAAAUCAACUUAAUCAUUAAUACAAUAUUUAGCAAAUGAAUUUUUUCGACAUGGCAAAUAUAAAUCAAUGGGUUUAUAUUUGAUACACUGCUGAUGAAUAAUAUGUCGCGUGCUGGAACUUUGGCCUAACCUUGGGUGACCUUAAACUCUAAAAAUAGAGCUUAAGUAUGUUGGUCCCAUAGGUGUGUUAAAGAAGGGUGAAUAGCACUAAAAAUUUUGAAGUCAACCCUUGAGCUUGUAGAACUCUUAAUCAACCAUAAGAGGAAAGGUUUAAAACUUGUUAAAGUUCAAAGACACCAAGUUAGGGAAGGUAAAGAGAAGUGGACAAAACACAAGUAUUUACAGUGAUUCGGUCCCCUUGACCUACAUCCACUACCUUGAUAUCCCAAUCAAGAGUUUUUGACCAAAGUUCACUAAACUAGUGGAAUUAACAGCUUUCACCAAACUUUUUCAAAUUGAGUUUUUAACCCAAGCUCUAAUCCGUUACAAUAAAUCUUAGAGUGCUUCCCACACUCUAAUGAACUAAUAAAAAAGAAAAAAAAAUGAGUACAUGUGAUUUCGCCUUGCUAAUCUGAGAUAAAUACAAUAAUGCUCAAAACCUUUUACAAGAAUAGAAUGGAAAAUAGAGGUGUAAGAAAAGGUUCCUUGGUUUUUUGCUCAAAAUAUGAUCUUGGUAGCUUUUCUUUUGCUUUUUUGACCAUUGGAUCUUUAAUUUAUACUUCGAGAGUCAAAUUUUUUGUUAGAGAUAGUUUCUAGCCAUUAUGAAUGUGUCUGAUGCCAUUCUAGCUGUUAUCUUAUCUUUUCGCAUUCAAAUUCAAAUAGGCAAGCUUUAACUAAUUAAGCUUUCUCUAACUUGCACUGUCUGGCAACUCUAUUCAUUGUGUUAACUAGUUAAAAAAGGUUCUAACCAAUUAAAAACUUUCUGUUUUCAAAGUUCUAUAACCAAUAGACUUCCUUUAAUUGGUUAAUCCUCCCUUUAACUAUUUGAGGAGUUUUUUCCUUCAAAUUUAACUGGUUGAAAUAAACAUUAACCAAUUAAAAUGUCUCCAAAUUUUGCCCUUCUUCAUUUUGGCUCCCUUCAACAGUCAACUUCACUUUGAAUUUAAACUUUGGUGCUUCAAAGUGCUUCAAGUCCUAAGUUUUAACCGAUUAACCUUUUUACUUAAUCAGUUAGCAAGUUCUAUCUUUAGCUUCCAACACCUUUUUAAUCAAUUAAGCUUGGUGCUAACUAAUUAAGCUUUUUUUGCCUUGCUUUUAUAUAGCACCCACAUUUGCCUUAAAAGAUUAAGGCUCUCCAUUAAUCAGUUAAUGGUGUUCUAUUUUCGUUAACCUUUUUUGCUUUCCCUUUUUAACUUAUUAACCCAUCUUUUAAGUAAGCAAGCUUCUUGACUUGCCUUUAAACAUAAAAUUUAUUAAGGGUUUUAAACUUUGUCCUACGCAUUUAAAUAAUGAAGUUAAACACCAAUAAAUAAAGAAUGUUUUGUUAUCAUAAAAAACAUAUGAAGCCAACAAAGUAAGCCUUAAAACCCAUAAAAUAGUGAAACCAAAAGAAAAGAAAAAGAGAAAGCUUUUGAGAAAUAAAAUGCUUUGUAUUUCUUGAAGGUGUAUUACAAAUGACAAAAAAAGGCCUACUUAUAGGUUGAUGGCCCCCUUUGUUAGAUAAGAUUAGGUCACUAGAUAGGGAUAAGAUAGGAUACGAAAAGAGAUUUAAUUUGAAUGGAUAAUAUUCAAAUUAAAUCCAAAUCUUAAUCUAAUCUAGUAAAUAUACAUAUAAACUUAGAUAUACAUUAGCAAAUCCAAGAGUUCAAAUCAUAUUACAUUACAUAGGUUGGGCUUGUUGUUUGGCCUAUUUGGACUACUUAGCCUACUUGGGGUACUUAGCCUACUAGGGCUGCUUAGCCUUCUCAACCUAUUAACUAUUAGGCCAAUUGGCUUGCAAGAACUAGAUUGAACUCUUGGGUUGUGAUGUCCUCUUUUACUCAAUCCAAUAAUGCCCUCGUUGCUAAGAGAUGCAAUGUUACAUUGCGACCAUCCUCUUACACGUUUUUACUCUAAAUAACUUUAUUUUGUGCACUUUUGGCUUCUACACACUUCUUUGGAAUGCAUUGUCUCCUUAGGCACUUGUUGUGGACCAAUCCUUAUAAGCCUCGAUCCCUUGGUCUCACGAGUGCUUGGUUGGUCUUGACGAUUUUGUGUUCAUAUCUUAGGCUUCCUGGCCUUCAUUUGUGACAAUCUCAUCAUUGCUGAUCUUAGUCUUUCUUAAAUCAUACGACAUACCGUUGUCAUUUGUUGCUCUUUUAAGUGCAACACGACACUACGCAAUCUCAAUAUGCUCCUAGCUCCCUCAGUUGUGGAUGUAAGCAUUUCUUGCCACUACACUAUUCUUUCUCCUUUUCCUUAAGUGUGACCGCUCAGCGAGUCCCUUUACACAUUAGUUGUCACUCUCAUUGCCUAGAUCAUCCUUGUCCAUCAUGAUGGCUUUAAGGUUUUUUCACAUGGGUCAAUCUCUUAUCUAGUGUGAUUCUUCACACAAGAAACAUUUAAGAGGCUUUUUUUCCUUACCCUUCCACUUGGUGAUUGCCUUGGUCUGAUGGCGUGGUGAUUUUUUGUCAACCACUUCCUCUAACCCACUAUCUUUCUCUUUCCCACCGUUGCCUUUUUUCUUAGGCUUGGAGAAGAAAAGAUUAUUGUUGAACUUAUGCAAAUCUACCAAUGAUUCCACCACGGUCAUAGCCUCUAUCACAUUCUGCACACUUCUCCUUUGUUGUUUCAACUUGGCCCAUGGUUUGAGCUUAUCCAUAAACGAAAAUAGUGCUUCCUUUUUACCAAGAUCAUUAAUUUGUUACAAUAAUUUAGAGAAUUGUUUUACAAAUUCUUUUGCCUCACCUUAUUGGGUAAGCCUCCACCAUUUGGCCCACGCCUCGUUGUUUGUGUACUCAAGGUAAAAUUGCUUCUGAAACUCCCUCUAGAAUUUUGCUCCAAUGCUAAUGGUUGAUCCCUCAAGCUUCUUAUCGCACCUAUGUCUCCACCAUAGCAAGGCAAUGUCCAUCAAAUACAUGGCUACGAAAUUAAUUCGUAAAGCAUCCUCUAUGAUGCCUAUGGUUUUGAAGUAUUGUUCCAAGCUCUAUAGGAACAUCUCCUUGGCUUCUCUCUUACCUUGGAAUUCUUUGGGCUUAGCCAUCUUCAAAUGAGUCCCCAUUGAGUGGCCAGUGCAACACCUUUUGUCAUUGCCUCUAAUGCAACAAGCUUGUCCCUAAACCCCUAUACAACCUAUUUCAACAACUUGACCAGCUCCUCCAAUGCCUUAUGUCGAUGGUUUAACGUCUCCACUAUCUCAUACAACUCUUUGACCCCUAACUAAUCCAUGUUGGCCUCGAACUCCUUGAGUUUGUCCCUUGUCUCUCCCACGACCAUCUCCACUCUAGCUACUCGACCUUCGAGAAAAGACAUCAUGUCCCUCAACUUACCUCAUUUAAUUGCACCACUAGUCUCUUAACUUGCUAGACUAGUGCGAACUGGUUCUCUAUCAAUGCCAUUUCUCUUUUCCUCUAACCUGGGCUUUGAUACCAGCUGUCAUGUUCUAGAACUUAAGUCUAACCUCAAGUGAUCUUAAGCUUUGAAAUAGAGCUUAAGUAAGACUUACAACCUAUAAAAUAGCAGAGCAAAAGAAAAGAAAAAGAGAGUGCUUUUCGGAAAUAGAAUGCUUUGUAUUUCUCUAAGGUGUGUUACCAAUGAGGAGAAGGGGUAUAUUUAUAGGCUGAUGGUCUCCUUUGUUAGAUAAGAUUAUGUUACAAGAUAGAGACAAGAUAGGAUAAGAUAAUAGAUUUAAUUUAAAUAGAUAAUAUUCAAAUUAAAUCCAAAUCUAAAUCUAAUAUAGUAAAUCGACAUCUAAACUUAGAUAUACAUUAGCAAAUUCAAAGGUUUAAACCAGAUUACACUAUGUGGGCUAGGCUUGUUGUUUGAUCUAUCUGGCUGCCUAGCCUGCUUGGGCUGCUUGGCCUCCCUAGACUACUUAUUCUACUUAAGCUGCUAACUGUUGGGCUAAUUUGUCACAGCCCAAUUUCUGGGCCAUGACCUGCGCAAAGGCCUAAUGGGUUCAGCCCAGUGAGCCCAAGCAAGCCUAUUUAUAUAAUCUUGUACAUUAAUCCAUAUGUCUUUAAAAUCCAAAAUUUCUAAUGUUCAAAUAUAAUUCCUUUGAAAACAAUUCAUAAGACCCAAUUAUGUAUUCAUAAUGGCAUCAUCAACCAUAAUAUACAUAUAUAGCUUGACAAAUGAGCCUUAGUAUUUCACAUCAAGUAUUCAUAUACACAUAAUUAGACAUUGACUGUCAACGGAGUGACUCUGGGCACAGUUGCUAACAUUUAGUGUCAUGGUAAACCUACUGAGCAAUGGAUAGGGAGGAGCACCUCAUCCUAGGACUCAAUCACCUUUAACUUAAAAAACCUAAAACAUGAAGUUUAAAAAUGUGAGUAUAAACCCAAUGAAUGAACAUAAGAAGGGAACAAGCAACAUUAAGGAAGGUUUAGAAAUCAUGAUGCACUUAAGUUCAAAAACAAUGCAAUUUAGUUUAUUUCUUAUUAAAAACCCCUUAUUCAGACCCUUGGUUGUUUAGUCACUUGAUGAUGAAGGAUCCAUAAACAACAAAGAAGUUGAUGGGUGAAAACUUAAGUAGGAUUCAAGCAAGUCAAACAUAAUAGAUUGAUUCUCGCCACAGUGAAAAGGCAUUCUCGCUGUAACAAAAUUCUGGCUAGAUAAAAUCUAAGGGGUUUUCACUGCCACAAGGAAAGUCCACUCAUGCCACAUUGUACAUUAAAUCAAGCACAUUGACAAUAAUCAAGUUUUCUCAAUAUUCAAUACAGUCACAUAUUAUUUUCAUAACUUUUUCUAUAGCAUAUAAAAAACAUAGUUAUAGCAUAUAUAUAUACCAGCAUGUAUACAACCACCACCUCACCUAUCUCAUGUGCACUUCGCACCGCACAUAGCCAGAGUCAUCAUGUGCACCCCCACAUCAUGCACAACUAAUGCCAUCAUGUGCUCCCCCCACAUCCCGCACAUGGCACAUAUAUCAUCAUCAUCGUGUUCACCCCCACAUCGCGCACAACUAAUGCCAUCAUGUGCUCCCCCCACAUCACGCACAUGGCAUGUAUCAUCAUCAUCAUGUGCACCUCCACGUCGUGCACAACUAAUGCCAUCAUGUGCUCCCCCCCCCCCCCACUCAGGCACAUAGGCAAUCUCAUCAUCCAUACUCCCUCACAUUGUUAUCACUGGCAUGUGCACUCCUACACCGCACAUGCAUGGUCAUAAUUAUCAACACACAACAUAUAUAUAUAUAUAUAUACCAACAAAAUAAAAUAGCACAUGGAUUUGUCACAGUCACAUUCCAUAACGUAACAAUGUUUCAUCAAGGGCUUGUUCCCAUUCAUAUUUUAAAGAAAAGGCCAAUAAAACAUUUCAUGAAAUUCAUUCAAACACAUACGCUUUAAUCCCAAAACAUUUUAAUGCAAGUUCACUCACCUCAAUAAUGGCAACACACAAAACUAACGUCCACAAGGUCUUAAUCCUGGCAGUCUCGAAAUACCAUUAAAACCUAUAUUUACCAAUAAACCAUAAUGAUCUUAAUCAAGUCAUAAAUUAUAUCUAAUAAUUCUAAUAAAUUUACAUUAGGCAAUCUACCCUCUAACCGAACAUUUAACCUACAUUUCUAGUCUAAUUCUUAAACCCAUCAUAUCAACUAUUCCAACUGUAAAGAUUCUUUACCUUGGUAAGCUUGAAGGCAUGAAGAUCAACAAAAACCUAAUAUUUCCAAGAAAAAUAACUUGAAGAAAUUGGAAAAUAAAAUCUGAAAAUAUAAACAUAAAUUCAAAACUUUCAAAAGUUGGAAAUAUAUACCUUUCAGCCUUAAAAAUGAAGAUUUGAAGCCAAAAAUCCAAGUGUUGUUAAAAGUGAAGUAGAAAUAGAAAAUAAAGGAACGAAAGAGAGAUUUUUCUUUCUCUUUUCUAUGGUUUAGAAGUGCUGAAAAUUGGGGUUAGAAGUUGUAGGUUUGGUGCCCAAGAAGUUUGGAGAAGAAAGGAGUAAGAAAAGCAAAAAAAUGAAAAGAAAACAAGGAAAAUCACAUGAAAAUUUUGAUUUUCAUGGAGGUGGAAUGAAAAUGGCAUGGGAAGGAUGAGGAAGAAGAAGAAAAUAUCUGGUGGGAGAGGGUAAGGAUGGUCAUGGCUGAAAAAGAAAGGAGUCAAAGCUUCCUUGGGAAGCUUUAACCAAGCAAAUGGUAAAAUUAUCAUUUUACCUUCCAAGGUUUUCACCCUUUUUAAUUGUAUCCUCCCAUAAUCAUUUAAUUCCAAUUUCUUUCCAUUUUUCUUCCUUAACACUUGUACUAAUAAAAUAUCAAGUUUAUGCUCUAAUGCGGUAUCAUCGAAAUAUUUAAAUAUUUACUUACCGUUGCUAGCUUUAAUUAAUAAAGACACACGGGUCCCAUUAAUGUCAUUUUUCUCUAAAAUUUUCUUAUUCUUCUUCUCCCCCACUUAGAUUGACCAUAUACUCCUCUUUCAUGGAAAACUUCAACACUAAAUAUGUCAAGCCUAGCUCUACAAUAUGUUUAUUAUGCCAUUCUUACAUAAGAACGCAUGUUUGCUUGGGUAUCUUGGAAAUCGUUAAAGGACAGCAAUAUACCAAAUGGUACAAUUAAGAUGAAUUAAGCCUCGAACUAGACCAAAUAGAGAUUUAAAGAUGAAAAUGAGAAUUUUAAAACCCCAGAAUGACUUAAAAUGGUGAUUCGGAGUUUGAGGACCGAUUUGGAGUUAAAUUGGAAGUUUCAUGACCCAAUGGCAAAAUGGUCAUUUUGCCACCCAAGGUUAUAAUUGGAAUGUUGGAAGAAGUUUUUGAUCAAGAUUGACUAUUUAGAACAUAAAUUGAGUUUGAGAAGUGAAAAAUUUUAAUUUCGACAUUUUUUCGACCAUAGGGGCAAAAUAGUCAUAUUGCCACCCUAGGGGCAAAAUUGUAAUUUUACACCACCCAACACUUGUCCAGCACAUGGAUUUUACCCAAUAUUAUCAUGGAUAAUUGAGGAAAUUUAAGUGGUGGAGAGAGAUUGCCUAAUGGGUAAGUAUGACACAUGGACCAAUGGAAUGGUAACAUGUGUCGAAUUCUUAUCCAUUUAUUAUUUUCCUUAUAAAUUAGCACAAAAUCAGCCUAUUUCUCUUCAUAUGGCCGGCCAAAGGAAGAAAAAAAACCCUAGGUCGAAAAAUUCAAGGGAAAAGUGUGAAAAUUCAAGGAAACAAGUGACAAAAGGUAAGAUUUUUCAAUUCUAGCUUGUGAUCUACCUUUCCCAUACAUUUUUUUGCAUUUUUCACGGUUGAAUCACAUGAUUUCAUGAUGGGUAUCUUGCUAGCUGAACACUUAGAGAGAGGUUUUGAUGCUUGAUUUGGUUAGAUUUUAAGAUAUUUUAGUGUUUUUAGUUAGUGAUGUGUAGCAUGAAAAGCCAACAAGAAAAAUUCAUGUUCUUCCAUCACCCAUCAUUGGCCGAAUUCUCCAUGUGGAAUAUUGAGGAUGAUUUUGAUUUUAUUUUAAGUUAUUUGGUUAAGAAUUAGUGAUUUAUGAUGUGAGAAUCAAGUAGGAAAAAUUAUAGUGUUGAUGCACCCACCAUGGCCGAAUUAUCCAAGAGAAAAUGUGAGAAUGAUUUUGCCAUAUUUCAAGUUAUUUAACUUGUGUUUGAUGGUUUGGAGAAUUGGAAGAAAAAUGGAGUUAAUUGGAGUUGAAUUGGACGUAUUGGCCAAUUAAUCGGAUGAUAGAUCGAAUUAGGCCAAUACCGUUUUAUUUAUGUACAUAAUUGAAUUUAUAUGGAACAUCGUAUUUAGAUAGUUACCCGAGUAUUUCACAUCCCAUUUCAUGCAUUAGUAUAGAGCCUGAAUUGGUUUUAUAACAAUUUAGCACAAAUGUAGUAAAUGGCUUAUUGUGCAUUAUGUCUAGGUGGUGAGCAUUCUGGCAAAAGUAAAGAGAUAGUACCCGAGGAUCAAGAAUUGGAGUACUCGGAAUUUGACUCCCUAAAUAAUGAGUAACCUUACUAUCGUCUUAAUUAUCUAAAGUGAUUUUUAUCCGAUUUUGUGAUUUUAUGGAAAAUGAGUUUAAAUGGUAAAUUUUUAGGUUUUAUAAACAAAAUGUGUUAAAAUGAAAUGAUUUUAUAAAAUUGUCUUGAACUUGAAUGAUGGUUUUGAAAAUGGAGUAAUUGGAGACUAAUUGUUGUGUUCCAAAACAUGGUUUGAAUUGAAUGGCUUAUGAUAAUAUUUGCAUGAAUGGCUGAAUUGGUAUUUGUGUUGAAAAUGUAUGAACAGUUAAUUUGCCUUGAGAGGUUGUAAAAUAAAAUAAUUGUCAUGUCAUGCUACUGAAUUUUUAUUGUAUGAUGGGUUAUAAAUUAGUCGCUAUAAUGGACGAGUUCCGUGGACUAGCCUAUUAAAGGGGGCACGGUAACCCUAUUAUAUUCAUACCUCAAUAUGAGAGGCGCGGAUGGAUAACUCCUGAUGUUAACACUUUAAAGUUCACUUCACGACAAACCACCACGUAAGGGUGAACUCAGCCAAUGCCAAGGAACGGCUAUGUUUUCAAAAUAAAAACAUGAUUUAUGCGUACAUAACUUUUUAAAAGCCUUGGUGGACUCGGUUGGGAUAGCCCUCGAUCAAGGUAUCCCUGAUAACUGAGUAUGAGAAUGAUUUUGGCACGAGCCAAAGUUUUAAGAAAUUCAUAAGCCAUGUUGAUUACUCGAUUUAUAUAAAUUGAUUUUGUUUGGUUGAAACAAGUCGAAAGGUGAUGAAUUACAGUAUGUUAAACUAUUUUAUCUGUCUCCAUUUACUCGGCUUUAGAUAUUUUAGAUGGUAUUUGUUUACUCACAGGGAUUAUAUAAUCUCACCACCCUCCUCUCCACCCAUUUCAGGCUUAGAAUAGGCUGUAGAUAGCUGAUUUCAUCGAGGCUACCAUUGGAUUUGCAUCCUCCAAACUGUAGGUUCACAGUGUUUCUUACUUUUGGUUAUUCGGGGGCCCACUGGUUAUUGUAAAUUAAAUUAAAUGCUCUGGUUUACUAUAUUACAGUAUGUAUGAAUUUAUUUUGCUUUUACGCUGCAAAAAAUUAUUUACGUAUAACUCUAAAAAUAUUAUUUUAUAAAAAAAUAAAAUAUUCUAUUAAAUAUAUUUUUUAUUUUUUUAUUAUAUCCAAAUAAUCAUAAUUUCAUUUUAAAUGAAGGUUAUAGACAUUCAAACUUAUUUUUUAUUAUGAAUUAUGUGUUUUAUACUCACAUACUACAUUUUUAGCUGGUUUCGAAAUUUUUGAGAAAAAAUGAACAAAAUGCCCCUGUGAGAAAAAAAUUAUUUUUCUAUUGUUUUGAUUUUGAAAUAGUUUAUAAUCCCUCAAAACAUGAUUUUAGUAACUAAUACUCACAGAGGAAGCGAGAAAAACUGAUGUUAAGCCUUGCGAGAUUUCGAUUGACAUUCCGGUUAAUGAAUGUUUAUCGAGACGUCACGACGAUUGUCACGAGCUAGAUGGGAGUUCCAAGUCGUGACAAAAUAAAAUAUUAAUAUUUUAUUAAUAUUUUAUUAAUAAAAUAUUAUUUUAUUUCAAAAUUUUUCUCUUGUCUCCUUGGUAUCCAAAAUACCUUAUUAUGCCUCAAUUCACUUCCGAAUCACUUUUUAUCUCACAAAUUCUUUUCCGAUAAAAAUAUUAUUGUUUUAUUAUUAUUUCCUCGCGUGAGGAAUAUUUUAUCCCAAACUAUUUCAUUCAUCUUUCAUCACUUUUUAAACAUUAUAAUUAACCUCAAUUGGCAUCGGAUAAGCUUUAUUAGCCACCAUGUCAAAGUACGGGGUAUUACAGUCUCCCCCACUUAAAUAGAAUUUGUCCUCGAAUUCGUGUCGGUGUCGGGUUAUUAAUCUCAUUCUAUGAUCUUAUUCCAUCCUUUCCUUUAUAGGGAAUAUUGAUUUAUUCACCUCAUUUACCUCUAGUUCAACUGGAAUACUUUAUUUAUGUCUGUUAUCAUCUUUUAGAAUCAAUUCGGCAGUAACCUUCACAAACAUUAUCUCUCAUAGUAAAACGUCAAGUAUGCCUUUAUCACCAUCACUGGAAUUGAACCAUAACUCCGUCUCAAUCAUAUUGAUUUCAAUCACAUGUUAUACUUACUUAUAUAUACCUAAUUGCCAUCUUAUUACUCCAUUCCUUGUCAAAGUUCUCGACACUCAUUCACUUUAUCCCCAUACACUAUUACAUAACUUAUGGCAUCAUGAACAUGCCCUAUUCAUUCCUAUACCUAUUUCCAACAUUUUGGGGAGUUGAAUCUUUCAACCAUUCCUUCAUACUUCAUGUUUUUCCAGUAUUUAUGCAACUUAAGUCUUCUUAAUCAUAUUAGUCCAUCUUGUAUGGCUUAAUCACACUUUAGAUUACACUUUCUUAAUAUCAUUUCUUUGGAUAUUCCUCCAAAAUUUCUUAUAUCAACAUAACUCCAUUUCUGAUGGAAUUUCUUAUCAUUAUAUUAUCCAUACAACUCAUCAAAUAUAUCGAGUUCAAAUCUCAAAUCUCUAAAAAUAGUUCUUCAUUUUAGUUGGUCACAUCGUCAAUUCCACACAUAUGUAUGUACACACACUUCUAAAUGUCAACAUUCCUCAUUAUGUGUAAGGAUAUUUGUGUUCAAGUGCCUUUGAACUAAGUUUCCCUUUAUUUGUUUCCUAUCCAUAACCAAAAUUUGAUAUAAUAAUUCUCAUAUUUAAUCUAUAAACAUUGGGGUACAAUCAAUUUUAGAUUACCCUUUUUAUAUGUUUAACUCACCAUUCCACUUGCCUCUUACCACAAGUUACCUCUUACAUAAUCCAUACGAAUUCUCAUUAUGCCUAUGCAUAACUUCACAUCAUGUACAUGCCUAUACUGCUUUCUUAUCCUUUCCAAUUAUAUGCUUAAGUAUCAUUAUACUAUAUAUCCUUGUUGUGCCUCAAUUUUAAUGAGUCACUUAAGACUUAGACUCAUUCGAAUCAUGCAUGUUUCAAGCAUUUUUGAAUUUCAAUUUCCAUCAUAUAUUAUGAGGUUUUCAUUAUCUGACUUCAUUAUCAAGGUUGCCUUCACUCAUCCUUUGCUCUAUUCUUUCAUACUAAUAUAACAUCAUUCUCCCAUAGGCCAUUUACAAUAUGUACUUGAAAUUACAAGACUUAAAACAAGGCUCUUCUCACGUAUUUCUUAAUGUCAAUGUGAAUAUCACUUUUAGCUUAUGGCGUCCUUUUUGUAACCACACAACUUAAUGCUUGUUUUCACAAGAUUCAUAGUAGGAUUCCUUUUGAGUAUUUCCUUGCAGAUACCCACCUUAAACUUUAUGUCUCACGUCUCACCGCACAUGAUCACAUAACCCGUGGUUUAGCCGUUAGGCUCCUUAGCAAGUUUCAAAAUCCCACAUGUUAUACUAGCCACUUAUCAUUGGUAAUUCCCUUUCAAGGAUGUUUAUACAUUCCUGAAACACUUAAUCACUUAUUUGCUCUUUAACAUCCCGAGCAUAUCAUUCCAAAAACAUGCACUUAUUCUCCAAGAUAUGUAAAUGCAUACUCAUCUAUUCCUAUUUCAAUUUAUCCUCAUGGGUUUCUAGCAUGCCACAUAAUUGGCCUUGUAUUGUUAUUAAUCCUCUUCAUUCAACUAAAUCAAGACAAGAUUUGUAAAUUUUCAUAGCAAUACUUUAUAUUAACUCAUUUGCUAUGCCACCCUUGUAAUUCUUUAUUCACAAUUUCAUCACUUGGUAUUGACAUCCCUUGUCAAUGUCUCAUACAAUCAUCUAACCUUUCACUCACUUUUUCCUUAGCCUUUAACAAGGCUUAAUCUCUUGUCUUUUUCAUUUCUUAGGAUUUGACUUUGUCAACAUAUUAUUCAUUUUAACACUCCACAUGGUAAUUUAUCUUAAUGUAGCCAUCUCAAGAACUCUUUAACUCUUCUUUUUCUUACAUGUCAAUAUAUAAGGCAUUAAAGAAACCUUUCAAUUCCCUCAUAUAAACACUUUUCCACGUACUUAAAACUCCAAAUAACUAAGCCCAACAUCAAGACCAAUGACGAUAAUUCAACUUGUGAGUUUCAUCUUCAUACCACUCACAAUUUGCUCACGCUUCCUAGCCAUGAGAGAUUCUUAACACGAUAGUGUUGGGCAAUUAGCGCUGCAGUGUUGCAACUACUGGAAUUUUUACUUUAUCGAAGUAAUUCUUCUACCUUUAAGGCUACGGCACCAAUCAUUCUCAACCGCAUGGCUUCCAUUUAAGCCUAUACCAUAAUUUCCAUCAUCAUGUGUAUCUUCAUUUUGCUUAUCAUAUGCAUUAGGCCAAGUCAAUACCUUCAACUCAUAUUAUCCUUUAACACUCAUCAUCAAUCAUUAAGUCCCACCUUAAGACAUCCUCUCCAUAUUGUGUAAUGACUUCACAAGAUAUAUAUACAACACCACACACAUAACUACUCAUUAUUUAUGACAUCCCACAAUUCCUAUCAUCCAUAAUUAAUUGUCUUUCUUGUCUUGUAACUCAAAUAGUUUAUUGACAUUUCAGUAUAAACGGCCAUGAAAAUAGUUCAUCUUUUCCACACUUUAUACUUGCAAUCCUUACUAAUCAAUAAUUCAUCUUCCUCAAGUUCCAUCAUUUACCCCCAAUGGUCUAUAUUUAUGCCAAAUUAUCAAUUUAUAAUGUCAUGGCACCAUGUGCCUCCAUUCUUACCACCAAUCAUACUUUAUAAGAAAUAAUUAAAAGACUUACACAUCCUUUUCUUCUUUUAUACAUUGCACAACUUUUUUGGACCUACCUACACACUACAGAUAUGAAGUACCUUGUAUUUUGAUACAAUGGCUAAUAAAGUUUAUGGAUGCCAAUUUAGGUUGAUUACUAAGUUAGAAGGGUAAUUCAGAAGUGAACCUUUGAAAUCUCGAUCUCCAUAGGCACAUAACUAGAAGUAGACGCGAUAAUGCAGACCGAGGGUAAUUUCAUAAUUUCUCUUAGUGAGCUCCUACGAGUGGUUUUUUUUUAUGCUAUUAAGGUAUAAAUAGGCCUAAGGAAUGAAUGAAUGAUGUUUAUGAUGGAAAAUAAAUGAGGAAGAUAAAAAUAAUGAUAAUUUCCACGAUAGAGGCAAAAUGCUCAUUUUGCAUCUCGAGUCUAAAUUUUUAAGUUUUGUGAACUCGAGUACCUUUAGACUAUUAUGGACUUUGUUUCGGUCUCAAAAGAGUAAAAAGGUUGCACAAAGGAUGGGAGGAAGACAAAACCACCAUGUUAAGGGCAUUUUGGUAAUUUUGACGAAAAUUUGGAUUAACUUGAAGCAUAAAUAUUUGAGCUCUAGCAGCUUCCAGCAGCUUCUCCUUUUUCUUCUUCUUCCCUUUUCUACGUUCCUUUAAUCCUCCAUGGAAGCUUGCUUUGCAACUUCCAUAACUUUCUCUCUCUAGCUCCAAUUUUUAUGCUUUUGUGCACUUUUUCAUAGAACCUUUGUGCUCUUUCACUCUCUCACCUUAAAACCCUUAAAAAGUCUUGGUUCAACACUUUCUCUCACUAGUUGAAAAUUUUAGAGAGACAAAAAGAGAGACUUUCCAUGAUAGCUUGAGUAUUCUUGAAAAAGAAUUCAACUACAAAUCCACCAAGGUGAGUAAUGAAUGAGGACUGAUUUUAGGUUGUUGAUAAUGGCUAGUAAUUAGAGUUGUGAGUUAUUUUAUUAUUAAGGUUUGUUUAUUUAUUUCUAGAGUUACUAGAGUAGAAAGAAUAGAUAGCCAUUUAAUGGCAAUUGGAAGCUAGUUAGGAAUAACUAGUGGAACUUGAUUAAGAAAGAGCUUUUGGAACUAUAUUAAUGCCAAUUUGGGUUGGUUGUGAUGUUGUGUGUGUGUAGGUUCCAACAAGGCCUCACAUGUCCAUUUGGAGCAUUAGUUAAGGUUAGAGUCAAGCAAAAGAAUUAACAUGACCAGUGAGUUAACUUGCAUUUCAAAAUUGUUUUGGGAAUGUGAAUGUAUUGAACAAAACCUUUGAAUGAUUUUAUCCAACUUUUCUUAAAAAUGGGUGCCUUGGGAACAAGCCCUUAAUAAAUUGUCUCUAUAUUGUGACUUGUGGCUGUUAUGGAUUCAUGCACUAUUACAUUGUGUUGGUAUGCAUAUUUGAAUGUAUGUUGUGCAAUGAUAAAUAAUGUUCUAUGAUGAUAAUGAGGUGUGCGAGUAGGGAGUGCACACAUGAUGACAUUGAAUUGUGCGAGUAGGGAGUGCACAUAUGGUGGUAUUGACUUGUGCGUGUAGGGAGUGCACAAGAGCUGAGGAAGGUGGGGUGGUGUAGGUGUUAUAUAUGAUUAUAUCUAUAGAUAUGUGAUAGAAUGUGUGUGAUUGUAAAAUGUGAUUGUAUGGCAAGUUGAAAUUGGCAUGAUGAACCUUGAGAAUUUUCCAUUUUCUUGCAAAUUGAUUUUUAUUGCAGCACCAAAUGGAUUUUUAGCGCAAAGGAGGUCCUUUUUACACUUAGGUGCCCUGCUUCUCGCUACAGUGAGAAACAUUAUGUUUUGGCAGCCAACAACUUGCUUCAGCGAGAAUAAAUCUCACUGCAGGGAGAAACUCUCAAGUUCUGAUGCAGUGCUUUCACUUUGAUAAAGCUUUUGACCACCUUUCUUUCGGAACUGGAAAAAGUGGUAAACAUAAAAGUUGUAUCCCUUUCUCUUAGCUUUCUAAUGGUCUAAAAAUCAGGUCAAUUGGACUUCUGUAAUAGGUGAUAUGAUAGAAAAACUAAAACACAUGCAAACAACACUAUUUCUUGCUGCAGCGAGAAUGAACUUCGCUACAACGAGAAACUUGCUGCCAUGCUUGCUACCUUACUUGAUUUUGACCUAUUUUUCACCCGUUUAAGUUCAUGAAUUGAUCAUGGGUUUGUAAAACACUAUGAGGGUAUUAAUCAAAGUUUGAAAUGAGGAGUUUUUAGUAAGAAAUUAAAUCAAGUGCAUUGUUUUUUAAACAAGUGCAUCAUGAUUUCCAAAUUCUUCUUAUCGAUUGCUUGGUCCCUUCUUAUGUUCACUCACUGAGUUUUAUACUUACAUUUUUAAACUUCAUGUUUUCAUAUUCGAAGGCAAGUUGGGACCUAGAUAUAGUCGCACAUAUAUGCUCGCCUUCUUGGUAGGCACUAUGGUAUUUCAGUAGCUGUACCUUCACCCACGGUCACUCCACUAACGGUCAAGAGUCUUAUGCUUGUGUACAUGUAUAAGUAAUGAAGACCAAUAGGAUUCAUGUUAAAAAUCAAAUAUGUAUAUUUGAUUACUAUUGCCACUAUAAGGUGGCAAAUUGGUGAUACUAUGUUAGCAUAAUACAAAUGUGAAUAUUGGAUUGCUAUAAAAUGUUACUGAAAUAUUUGUAAUUGAGAAUUGUAAUAUGUGGUUUUAGAAAUGACGGUUGAGAAUGAUGAUUAGGAUUGGAUAAAAAAAAAGGGCUUGCUUGGGCUUAGUGGGCUAUGCCCAUUGGGCCCAUACGCCGAUCAUGGCUCGGGAUUUGGGUUGUGACAAAUGUGGUAUCAGAGCUAUAGGUUUAGUCCAGUCCUAAGGAUUUUCGUGUCAAUCAGCGGAGUUGUCAGAGUUAAUGUAGAGUCUUGUCUAUCGUUUGUGACUACAGCACAAGUCAUAGACAGGAAGCUAUAUGAACUCCUAUUCCUAGUAACCUACCCUUUUGCUAUCGUCAUGUAAAAGGCAUAAAUGGUAUCGCUGCUCGGGUUUGAGAUGCCACUCGAGACACAAACCAUUAUUGGAAAGAUUUUUAAGCAAGUGCUCCUAAUGAAAGGUUAACAUAAUGAUAUAUUCCUCUAACUAAGGAUGGAGGAAGGUGGAGUUGGACUGUUAUGUCCGUAAUAAUUUAUUUAUUUGGUGGAAUUAAGAUUCGAACCCAUGGUUAUCAAAAAAAAAUUAAUUAAAAUUUUGGAGACUAUGGAUUGUAUUUGAGGUCCAUAUAGGGAGGAUGUACGAUAAUGGUAAUAAAAGCAGUAUUUGAUUGGAAUGAAUAGUGAAUGUUAUGACUCACUUGAGGUUUAUAAAUUUAAAUAUUGAGAAAAGUGUAAACCAAUGUUUAUGUGCAUGGACGUAAGUGCACUAUGUUAAUUGAGCUUGACAUGCCCCUAUAGAAAUGGUGUGGGCUUUUGAAAUAUUUUAUAAGCGUAUAAGUGUUGAAUAUGUGUAUAGUAGCUUAAAUAGGGUUGGUUUUGAUUCUAAUUAAGUAAUUGUGAGAUUCUAAGUCUUGAAUUGAAUUAUUAUGGUUUAUAGUUAUAAUUGCAUGAAUUAGCUCAAGGGUGAAAAUCACUGAUUAUUACAAUUGAUGUAUGGUUGUGAAGUAAAAGGCUAGUAAAUGAUCUACUCUAAGGAUGAGCUUGAAUUUUGCUAUGCCUAGUGUGGAGCCAAAGGAUUAGAAGACUAGAUGUGGAUUUAGCAGUUUGAAAUUAAAUGACAUGGAAAUGACAAAUUUAGUCUAAGUGCCAUAUCGAGUUCUAUAUGAAGAUCGAUAUAUAAAUUGCUUUAAAGGUCCAUUUAAAAAUAUGUUUGGUUCGAUAUGCAACCUAUGAUGUAAAUGAUUAGUCUUGAAUGUGACUUCUCCAUAGGUCAGGGACUUAAAACAUGUAGAUUUUCGGAUAUGCUCUAAGAGGAAGCUUCUGCAUCCUAAGCUUAAGAAAUUUUGAUCUUAUGACUGCAAAGGCAAGAUACAAAAAUUAUGUGAAUUGUCUAUCUUAUGGAUGUAAUUGGUUAAGAAUUGAUGAGUAAAGUCAAGAUCUGAACACUACGUGGUGUACAAUUUGAUAUAUGUGUACCUAGGAGUAAAUUUGGAGAUCAUUGCUUAAUCAAUUUACACUGAAUGGUGUGGUAAAGGUAUAUGAAUGUUGGUAGUGAAGUAUGUCCAAAGUGAGAUAUGUGGAGAUUAAUGUUCCGAUCACAAACUUGUGAUAGAAAGCUAGUUUUGUAAAUUGUGGUUUUUAUGACCAAGAAAUAUAUGGAGGUUACCAAUAUGUAAGCCUACACUCGAAGUUGUAUAUCUUGUGAUUCGCAUUCAUUGUAUGGAAGGAGAUAUUCCAUAAAAGGAUUUGGCCUAAUUGGUGAUUACAAGACUAUAGGCUUGGUAUGAGAUUAAGAAUGAUUUAACAUGUAUAAGAAGUGUGUUGCGAAAGGCUGAAAGUCAUUAAGACGAAUGAUGGGUGAAACAUAGGUGUUGUUAGGAUGAGCAUAAAAAGCUCAAGGAUAAUCAAUGCAAUUAUAUUAAGUUAGUUUGGUUCGGUUCGAAAUAAAAGUAAAGACAUCUUGAAAGAUCUUAAAAUAAUGUUCAAUGGGGUUAAUGAGCUAAAUGUUAUCGAAUAUAUAUUAAAUUGUUAAAGUUAUGCGUGGCUUUGAAGAUAAGCCUUUGAUUGUCUAAGUCCUCAACAAAAUUCUAUUAAAGGAUGUGUUUAAGCAUUUUGCAAGUAUAUCGAAAAACAUAAGAAUAAUAUAUUAGUUCGACUUCCUAUAAGAGGUCGAAUUUGGAUGGCCAUGAGUGAUUUGUGAACAAUCAAGCAGUGUAAAGUAUGUGCUCAUAAAGGGAGCUAUGAUUGGUAAAUAAAGGUGGAACUUUAGAAUUUCAUUGUCAUAGUUAUUAGAUUAUAUUUUGUAUUAUAUGAUAUAGUGUAGAACAUCAAUGAUGAGGCUUUGUUCAAUGCUUUAGGCCUUGAACUGUAAGAUAUGGACAUGUAUCCACCUUGUGAAUACCCUGAUGAGAUAAAUUCGAAAGACUUUUCACAAUGAGAAAAUAUUAAAACUCAAAGAGCAAAUGGCUAUACAAUCAAGUUGGGCUCGUGACUGACAUGUCACAUAAGUAUGACGAUAUGAUACAAGCAUAAGUAUACUUGGAAAUGCUGGUUUAAGGCAAUGAUUAUCCUACCGUUUUGUGGACCCGAUGAGGUUCUGGUCUUGACAUAAUUAUAGACGCAAGGCAUAAAUUAUGAAAUGUGCUUCCGUCACAAGUUCCAAUUUAUUUUGAGUAAUUAUCAAGGUCAAGUGCUUGGUAAGGAUAGGCAAAGGUUGAAUUGUGUUUAAAAUGUUUAGAGAAUGAGGGUGACAUGGUUUGAUUAAAUGAUACUACCCUUGGUAAGGGAAUAGAAAUAUGCUACAGAAAUUGCAGAAAUCUACUUAGAAAAGAUAUGAUGAUUUGAGAAUUCAUGUACUCAUAUACGAGUAAAGAUUUGGUAAUGAGACAUGACCUAAAGUUGGAGUACUACAAUAUGAAUUUUGACUAAGAAAAUCGACUUAUAAAACACAUGGUGUUUAGAGAUGGAGCCAAUUAGUGGUUGACUCUUGUAUGAGAAUGGAAUAUUGAAAUCAACUUUCUGUAUUCACUACAAAUGAUGAGCAUGAUCUAACCAACCAAGAGAAGAAAUGAUUCUAAGCUUGAUUGUUGGUUAUUUUGGUUUUACAAAUGGCUUCUUGAGCUUGAUAUGCCUAAGGCUAUUCGAAGUUAAAAUUUUUGGAAAUAUAUAUGUAUGGAUAUAUAUGUUGCAUAUUGGUAUAAAAGCUCAUGUGGAGUUAUUUAUAAUUUCAUUCAAUGAUGAUAUUCUAUCAAUGGUUAUAGUGCUAGACAAUGAUUAAGAUAAUUUAUCACUGAUUUUGGCUGUGAACAAGUGGAUUAUAAUGCUGUUAGCUUAAAAAUAAGUGUUUAUACUUUUGGUAUGAGUUCAUCAAAUUCUAUUAUAUUGUGAUAAAACUUGGUGUUUUGAUAUAGCCUGAGACGCUUGGCAUAUGAACUAGCUUAAUUAUCAGCUAGAAAUUGUUAGGUUAUUAUGAAGUACACAAAUAUAGAAGUAUGACAUGAAUUUAAUAUCCUAAGGGGCAAUGGAAAAUGAUGUAUCAGUUUUGGUAUAGCUUCAAUAUAUAUAGUUUUGAUAUAUAAAGAUGUGGGAAAAAGUUUAUAGCUUAUGCAUAAAGGUGUGCAUUUGAAUUCGUAUAAUUAAAAGUGUAAAAUCUGCCUUGAUUGGUAUAAAACUCAUGAUUCAAAAUGAAUGAUUAUGGAUUUAAUUUUCUAAGGUAAAAAGGACUAAAAGAAGUUAAUAUUAGAAAGGUCUUAAUAGAUGAUUCUUUGAUUUUAAAGUACACUUAAAGAGAGACAAGUAUCUAAUUUCAUCCUCGGAUUGAUAAACUAAUGAGGCCAUGAGAUCUGAUGUUUGGGGUAAAUUUGAGAAAUAUCAAGUUAGAUAUGUUGUAGGUGAUUGAUGAUGAGCAAAUUAGCUAUGACAUUGGAAAUAUAGAAAUGAUUAGUAAUCAAAAUGAGACUUGGAAAGGAACUUUAAAGGGAAAAUUUUGAGCAACUUUAAUCUCGAGAGGUUGAGUUAUUGAUUAAAGAGAUUGGUUAAGAUUAUAAAAGGGUAUGUGGAAUGUCAUGAUUUAUUGAAAUGCCUUGUGGUAUAAGUUGAGAUUUAUCUAGUGAGCACUCGAUCAUGAAAGUAUUGGAGUUUGUUUUUGGGAAAAUGGUUACUAAUAGCUACUAGAUUUGAAUCAUCCAUGAUCUUAUAUAUAUCUAAAAUAAACAAAGGUUGUUUUGAUCCUUACAUAUUAUCAAAUGCUCGAAUGGAAUUUGUAUGGAAGUAUGUAAAAUGGAAUAGACGUUGGUUGAUGAUUUAGACCUAUAGUCAAUGGUGGAAUAAAUGCUUAAAUGUUGGAAGGUUUGAUAAAAGGUCGAGGUAGAGGAAUUGUGGAUGGUUAAGUAAACAUGUAUAAUUGAUAAUUUAAGGACAAUUUGAUUGAGGUGUGACCAGAAUUCAUAGCUUAUUUGAAUUCUCUUCAUAAGAUGAAGGAUGAUACUGUUUUGAUCCUACAAUAGUAGUACACAUAACUAUAUACUAUGACAUUGUCGAGUUUUCUAUAACACUAGAAGUUGAUAUGAUGCAUAAACCAAGAUUCUAUGUUAAGAAUGCCUAACGAAAGUGAUGUGGCAGAACUUUAGAACUUUGAUUAUUCACCUUACGUCGAUUUGAAUUCGAGGACGAAUUUAUUUUAAGUGGGGGAGACUGUGGUACUUUGUAUUUUGAUACGGUGGCUAAUAAAGUUUAUGGAUGCCAAUUUAAGUUGAUUACUAAGUUAAAAGGGUAAUUCAAAAGUGAACCUGUGAAAUCUCGAUCUUCAUAGGCACAUAAUUGAAAUAGUCUCGAUAAUGCAGACCAAGGACAAUUUCGUAAUUUCUCUUGGUGAGCUCCUACGAGUGGGUUUUUUUUAUGCUAUUAAGGUCUAAAUAGGCCUAAGGAAUGAAUGAAUGAUGUUUAUGAUGGAAAAUAAAUGAGAAAGACAAAAAAAUGAUAAUUUCCACGGUAUGGGCAAAAUUGUCAUUUUGCAUCUCGAUUCUAAAUUUUUAAGUUUCGUGAACUCGAGUAGCUUUAGACUAUUAUGGACUUUGUUUUGAUGUCAAAAGAGCAAAAAGGUUGCACAAAGGAUAGGAGGAAGACAAAACUACCAUGUUAAGGGCAUUUUGGUAAUUUUAGUGGAAAUUUGGAUUAACUUGAAGCAUAAAUAUCUGAGCUCCAGCAGCUUUCAACAGUUUCUCCUUCUUUUUCUUCCUCCCCUUUAACGUUCCUUUUAUCCUCCAUGGAAGCUUGCUUUGCAACUUCCAUAACUUUCUCUCUCUAGUUCUAAUUUUUAUGCUUUUGUGCACUUUUUCAUAUAACCUUUGUGCUCUUUCACUCUCUCACCUUAAAACCCUUAAAAAGUCUUGGUUCAGCACUUUCUCUCACUAGUUGAAAAUUGUAGAGAGAGAAAAAGAUAGACUUUCCAUGAUAGCUUGAGUAUUCUUGAGAAGGAAUUCAACUACAAAUCCACCAAUGUGAGUAAUGAAUGAGGAUUGAUUUUAGGUUGUUGAUAAUGGCUAGUAAUUGGAGUUGUGAGUUAUUUUAUUAUUGAGGUUUGUUUAUUUAUUUCUAGAGUUACUAGAGUAGAAAGAAUAGAUAGCCAUUUAAUGGCAAUUGGAAGCUAGUUAGGAAUAACUAGUGGAACUUGAUUAGGAAAGAGCUUUUGGAAUUAUAAUAAUGCCAAUUUGGGUUGGUUGUAAUGUUGUGUGUGUGUAGGUUCCAACAAGGCCUCACAUGUCCAUUUGGAGCAUUAGUUGAGGUUAGUGUCAAGCAAAAGAAUCAACAAGAAUGGUGAGUGAACUUACAUUUCAAAAUUGUUUUGGGAAUGUGAAUGUAUUGAACAAAACCUUUGAAUGAUUUUAUCCAACUUUUCUUAAAAAUGGGUGCCUUGGGAACAAGCCCUUGAUAAAUUGUCUCUAUGUUGUGACUUGUGGCUAUUAUGGAUUCAUGCACUAUUACAUGGUGUUGGUAUACAUAUUUGAAUGUAUGUUGUGCAAUGAUAAAUAAUGUUUUAUGAUGAUAAUGAGGUGUGCGAGUAGGGAGUGCACACAUGAUGACAUUGAAAUGUGCGAGUAUGGAGUGUACAUAUGGUGGUAUUGACUUAUGUGUGUAGGGAGUGCACAGAGCUAAGGAAGGUGGGGUGGUGUAGGUGUUAUAUAUGAUUAUAUCUAUAGAUAUGUGAUAGAAUGUGUGUGAUUGUAAAAUGUGAUUGUAUGGCAUGUUGAAAUUGGUAUGAUGAACCUUGAGAAUUUCCCAUUUUCUUGCAAAUUGAUUUUUUUUGCAACACCAAAUGGAGUUUUAGUGCAAAGGAGGUCUUUUUACACUUAGGUGCCCUGCUUCUCGCUACAGUGAGAAACAUUCUAUUUUGGCAGCCAACAACUCGCUACAACGAGAAUAAAUCUAGCUGCAGCGAGAAACUCUCGGGUUCUAAUGCAAUUCUUUCACUUUGAUGAAGAUUUUGACCAUCUUCUUUUCAAAACUAGGAAUAGUGGUAAACAUAAAAGUUGUAUCCCUGUCUCUUAUCUUUCUAAUGGUCUAAAAAUCAGGUCAAUUGGACUUCUGUAAUGGGAGAUAUGAUAGAAAAACUGAAACACAUGCAAACUGACAUUGUUUCUUGCUGCAGCGAGAAACUUGUUGCCAUGCUUGCUACCUUGCUUGAUUUUGACCUAUUUUUCACCCAUUUAAGUUGAUGGAUUGAUCAUGGGUUUUGUAAAACACUAUGAGGGUAUUAAUCAAAGUUUGAAAUGAGGGUUUUUUCGUAAAACCCGACCCUAUAAACACAUGUCAUGACAUACAUGCACUGAGUAGCAUGUUAUUAUGCUAGGAAAGCACCUAAGAAUAGACGAAACCUGGUACCGUACUUAACGGUACACUUGAGUUGAUUUAACCUUGAACUACUUCAAUUAGGAAUCGUAGGAUAAAAUUUAAUAUUUUAUAGUCAAGGAAUGACUAAAAAUGACUGUUCAGAGUUCGAGGGUUUAUUAAGGGUAAAAUUGAAAAUUUUGAUGUUCAGGGGUAAAAUUGUCAUUUUGCCACCUAAGAUAAUAAUUUGAUAAUGGAGUGAAACUUUUGACCAAGAUUAACUAUUUGGAGUAUAAUUUAAUGAUAGGAAGUGAAAAAUUUUAAUUCUGGUGAUUUUUGGAGUGUAGGGGCAAAAUCAUAAUUUUACCACUCGCGGACAAAAUUUGAGAUUUUGAGAGAAUUAAGAUCAUAUUUAACAAAUUGGAGAAUGGUAUGAGUAUAAGGGAUGAAAAAUAUGUCUAUGGGCAAUUUUUCAAUUUUUUAGGCAAAAAUGUAAUUUUUCACUUUUACGGGGGCAAAAGUGUAAAUUUCAAAAGUUACUCCACCGAGACUUUGGAUAAGUCUGAGAAUUUUAUCUAAGCUAUGGAUAUGUGGGACAAGUGUAUGGUGAGAAUUUGGAAACAAAUGGAUGAAAUUUUAAAAAUGGGCCAAUGGGAAAGUGACAAGUGGCAUUUUUUAAUGAUAUAAUAUUAUUUUAAUGAAAAGUCAGCCCAUUUAAACCCCAUUUUAAGUGCUGGCCAGCCAUAAGGAAGAACAAGAGAGGAAAUAGAGAGGAAAGGAAGAAAACAAAGAAAACAAAGGGAAACUAGAAAAAUUCAAAGGAGAAUUCGCGUUUUUCGCCCGUUUACGCGUCUAACAGUAAGAUUUUUCGAGUUUUGCUUGAUUUCUACCUUUCCUAUGCCUUUGCUUCCAUUUAGCAUGCUUGAGGAGAGAAAUCUAAAAGUGACAUCAAGGGCUGGACAAAAUUCUAGGGGAGAGAAAUUGAAAUUUUUGGGUUUUGAUUUUUAGUUAAAUUGAUAGUUUUAGUUAGUUAAAUGUGUUUAGAAAUUAAAUUGGGCAAGAAAGCAUUAAAUUUUCACAAUACCCACCCUUGGCUGAAUCUGCAAUGAGGUACAAUGAUGAUAAUCUGAUAUUUAUUCUAAGAGAAAUGAAGAGAAAAUGAUGAAAAAUGGUUAAAUGUGAUAGAAAAACAAAGUGAAAAAUUNNNNNNNNNNNNNNNNNNNNNNNNNNNNNNNNNNNNNNNNNNNNNNNNNNNNNNNNNNNNNNNNNNNNNNNNNNNNNNNNNNNNNNNNNNNNNNNNNNNNNNNNNNNNNNNNNNNNNNNNNNNNNNNNNNNNNNNNNNNNNNNNNNNNNNNNNNNNNNNNNNNNNNNNNNNNNNNNNNNNNNNNNNNNNNNNNNNNNNNNNNNNNNNNNNNNNNNNNNNNNNNNNNNNNNNNNNNNNNNNNNNNNNNNNNNNNNNNNNNNNNNNNNNNNNNNNNNNNNNNNNNNNNNNNNNNNNNNNNNNNNNNNNNNNNNNNNNNNNNNNNNNNNNNNNNNNNNNNNNNNNNNNNNNNNNNNNNNNNNNNNNNNNNNNNNNNNNNNNNNNNNNNNNNNNNNNNNNNNNNNNNNNNNNNNNNNNNNNNNNNNNNNNNNNNNNNNNNNNNNNNNNNNNNNNNNNNNNNNNNNNNNNNNNNNNNNNNNNNNNNNNNNNNNNNNNNNNNNNNNNNNNNNNNNNNNNNNNNNNNNNNNNNNNNNNNNNNNNNNNNNNNNNNNNNNNNNNNNNNNNNNNNNNNNNNNNNNNNNNNNNNNNNNNNNNNNNNNNNNNNNNNNNNNNNNNNNNNNNNNNNNNNNNNNNNNNNNNNNNNNNNNNNNNNNNNNNNNNNNNNNNNNNNNNNNNNNNNNNNNNNNNNNNNNNNNNNNNNNNNNNNNNNNNNNNNNNNNNNNNNNNNNNNNNNNNNNNNNNNNNNNNNNNNNNNNNNNNNNNNNNNNNNNNNNNNNNNNNNNNNNNNNNNNNNNNNNNNNNNNNNNNNNNNNNNNNNNNNNNNNNNNNNNNNNNNNNNNNNNNNNNNNNNNNNNNNNNNNNNNNNNNNNNNNNNNNNNNNNNNNNNNNNNNNNNNNNNNNNNNNNNNNNNNNNNNNNNNNNNNNNNNNNNNNNNNNNNNNNNNNNNNNNNNNNNNNNNNNNNNNNNNNNNNNNNNNNNNNNNNNNNNNNNNNNNNNNNNNNNNNNNNNNNNNNNNNNNNNNNNNNNNNNNNNNNNNNNNNNNNNNNNNNNNNNNNNNNNNNNNNNNNNNNNNNNNNNNNNNNNNNNNNNNNNNNNNNNNNNNNNNNNNNNNNNNNNNNNNNNNNNNNNNNNNNNNNNNNNNNNNNNNNNNNNNNNNNNNNNNNNNNNNNNNNNNNNNNNNNNNNNNNNNNNNNNNNNNNNNNNNNNNNNNNNNNNNNNNNGGCCACUUGUCAUUGUAACUAUUAUUGUACAUUAUAACUUUGUAAAUUUUUGUAUGUGUGAAUUUAUUUUACUUACACGUUACAAAAGAUUUCUUACACGUUACAAAAGAUUUCUUACACGUGUUUCUAUAAAUAUUAUUUUAUAUAAAAAAAUACUAUAUUUUAAUCAAUAUUUUGAAUAGUGAUAUUUAUCUAUAAAUCCUUUUAAAAUAUUUUUGUCUUUUGAUUUACUUGAACAGGAAACUACUGGAAAUAGUUUAAAAUGGAAUGUUUAAGAACGAUUGCUCACAAAAAAGGCAAGAAACUGAUAUGUAAGCCUUACGGGGUUCUGAUUGGCAUUUCGGGUAAUGAGUGUCAAUUGGGACGUCGCGACGGUUGUCAUGGGCUCGAGGGAGGUGUCGGGUUAUGACAUUUUUAGUAAGAAAUUAAAUCAAGUGCAUUGUUUUUGAAACAAGUGCAUCAUGAUUUCUAAAUUCUUCCUAUCGAUUGCUUGUUCCGUUCUUAUGUUCAGUCACUGAGUUUUAUACUCACCAUUUUAAACUUCAUGUUUUCAGAUUCGAAGGCAAGUUGGGACCUAGAUUGAGUCGCACACAUAUGCUCGCAUUUUUGGUAGGUACUAUGGCAUCUCAGUAGCUGUACCUUCACCCACAGUCACUCCACUGACGGUCAAGAGUCUUAUGCUUGUGUACAUGUAUAAGUAAUGAAGACCACUAAGAUUCAUGUUAAAAAUCAAAUAUGUAUAUUUGAUUACUGAUGCCACUAUAAGGUGGCAAAUGAGUGAUACUAUGUUAGCAUAAUACAAAUGUGAAUAUUGGAUUGCUAUAAAACGUUAUUGAAAUAUUUAUAAUUGAGAAUUGUAAUAUGUGGUUUUAGAAAUGACGGUUGAGAAUGAUGAUUGGGACUGCAUAAAAAAAAAGGCUUGCUUGGGCUUAAUGGGCUAUGCCCAUUGGGCCCAUGCACCGAUCAUGGCCCGAGAUUUGGGCUAUGACAAGAUACUUGACCAACGAAUUAUCCAUUUUAACCCUUUUCCUAUUUAUCCAACAUAUACCCUUAACAUUUCUCAUCCACAGGAAUAUAGGGGUUAUAAUUUCCUCAAUACUUAAGUUUACAAUCCUCAACUUAAUCACAUUAACCACUCAAAGUGUCAUCAAUAGUCUCAUUAAUUUCUCUCAUAUCCUCCCGAAUUGUAACUGUAAUUGAGAUUUCAAAUUUCACAUUUUCAUGAUUAAUCGGUAAUCGUUUGUCAGGUCUUGUAGUUGCUUGUACCAUUAAUGACUUUUUAUGUCGACCUUUAAUAGUUAUCUAUGGCGACAAACCACACCACCAAGGUGAAUAUCCUUCCUCAAUAAUUAUAUUGCUAGUCCACCUCUAUCAUACCAAAAGAUUACCAUAUGCACCAAGUCAUUUUAACAGCUACUUCAUAAUCCAUUCGAGUCACACGAAACUAAAAGCCAAACUCUUAAGUCCUUUAUAGAGAUAACUACUACUACUUCAUUUACACCAUGUCGGCCUAGACUUAAAGUAAUACAAAAUUCAAUGAAAAUACUAAGCAUCCUUCGGAUCUUCAUCGCCUUGAUCCGAACGCACCGACUGAUCCUCUUCCAGGUCCUCUUCUACCUCUUGAUAUUUCUCUAUUUUGUCCUUAAUCCAAGCCUGCUGUAUUCUUAUGUACUCCUCCUUACUCACAAGUGCAGCACCUAUUCCAUAACCAAGAGGAAAGUGUUGGACAACGGAUACUUUCCUAGGAUGGAUAUCUCCCUUUGCAAUUGCCUCUUUCGUCUUUUCCUUAUACCAUUCCUCAAGUAAUUUAUUCACUCCUUUUCGAGUAUUAGAGCUGUCCUUGCUUUCAAGGUUUUCAUUACUUUUGAGACUUUUCCUAUUGCGAAAAUUUUUUCCAAUUCCAGUGGAAUCCAUGUAACAGGAAUCUGAGACUGGCCAUUUCCCUGACUCUUUGGAUCAUGGUGCCAUUGGCUCCUAGCAUUCGAAUCUACUGAUCCCUUGAUACCACUAUGAGGGGUAUCGAGACUAUCGUCUCCUCUAGACAUGGCUUGUACAACAGAAGCACCUCCAAACCUAUACGUAACCAAGCAUCAAUUGCUUAGCCAUUUAUAUAUGAUAAGAAUAGGAAGGUUCCUCAUGAAUUAGGGACCUAUGUAGCCUCCCAUCCUUAGGUUGCAUUGCACACCCACAAUCCAAGGAUGAGACUCUACACAAACUCCCACAACUCCGUUGAUAGACACAAGAACCCCUAGGACUCAUCUAAACUUAGAGCUUUAAUACCAGGUCUGUCACAGCCUAAUUUUCGGGCCAUGAUUGGCGUAAGCGCCCAAUAGGCUCAGCCAACUAAGCCAAAGCAAACCUAUUUAUAUAAUCUUGUACAUUAAUCCAUAUGUCUUUAAAAUCCAAAAUUCGUAAUGUUCAAAUAUAAUUCCUUUGAAAACAAUUCAUAAGACUCAAUUAUAUAUUCAUAAUGGCAUUAUCAACCAUAAUAUACAUAUACAGCUUGACAAAUGAGUCUUAGUAUUUUACAUCAAGUAUUCAUAUAUACAUAAUUAGACCUUGACCGUUAGCGGAGUGACUCUGGGCACGGUUGCUAACAUUUAAUGUCAUGGUAAACCUACCGAGCACUGGAUAGGGAGGAGCACCUCGUUCUAGGACCCAAUCACCUUUAACUCAGAAAACCUAAAACAUGAAGUUUAAAAACGUGAGUAUAAACCCAGUGAAUGAACAUAAGAAGGGAACAAGCAACAUUAAGGAAGGUUUAGAAAUCAUGAUAAACUUAAGUUCAAAAACAAUGCAAUUUAGUUUAUUUCUUAUUAAAAACCCCUUAUUCAAACCCUUGGUUGUUUAGUUAUUUGAUGAUGAAAGAUCCAUAAAUAACAAAGAAGUUGAUGGGUGAAAACUUAAGUAGAAUUCAAGUAAGUUAAGCAUAAUAGAUUGAUUCCCACCGUAGUGAAAAGGCAUUCUCGCUGCAACGAAAUUCUGGCCAGAUAAAAUCUAAAGGGUUUUCACUGCCACAAGGAAAGUCCACUCAUGCCAUAUUGUACAUUAAAUCAAGCACAUUGAUAAUAAUCAAGUUUUCUCAACAUUCAAUGUAGUCAAAUAUUAUUUUCAUAACCUUUUCUAUAGCAUAUAAAAAACAUAUUUAUAGCAUAUAUAUAUAUACAAGCAUGUAUACAACCACCACCUCAGCCAGCUCAUGUGCACUCCACACCGCACAUAGCCGGAGUCAUCGUGUGCACCCCCACAUCGCGCACAACUAAUGCCAUCAUGUUCUCCCUCCACAUCACGCACAUGGCACAUAUAUCAUCAUCAUCAUGUCCACCCCCACAUUGCGCACAACUAAUGCCAUCAUGUGCUCUCCCCACAUCGCGCACAUGGCAUAUAUCAUCAUCAUCGUGUGCACCUCCACAUCACACAAAACUAAUGCCAUCAUGUGCUCCCCCCACAUUGCGCACAUAGGCAAUUUCAUCAUCCACACUCCCUCACCUCGUUAUCACCAGCAUGUGCACUCCCACACCGCACAUGCACGGUCAUAAUUAUCAACACACAACAUAUAUAUAUAUACCAACAUAAUACAAUAGCACAUGGAUUCAUCACAGUCACAUUCCACAAUGUAAAAAUGUUUCAUCAAAGGCUUGUUCCCAUGCAUAUUUUAAAGAAAAGGCUAAUAAAACAUUUCAUGAAAUUCAUUCAAACACAUACGCUUUAAUCCCAAAACAUUUUAAUGCAAGUUCACUCACCUCAAUAAUGGCAACUCACAAGACUUCAAAAUUUAAUUUAAAUCAUGAAAUACGUGUUUCCACUUACAUAUUACAUUUUUACGGAUUUCAAAAUUUCAAAAAAAAAUGAUGAAAAUGCCCCAGUGAGCUAGAAAAUAAUAUUUUUAUUGUUUUGAGUUGGAAACAACUUAUGAUUUCUUGAAAUGCGAGAUUUAAUAACUGUCGCUCAUCGGGGAGAUGCGGAAGUUGAUGCUAAGCCUUGCGGGGUUUCGAUCGGCAUUCGGGGUAAUGAGUGCUUAUCGGAACAUUGCGGCGGUUGUCACGGGCCCGAUGAGAGUUCCGGGUCGUGACAUAAUUAAUUAAUUUCAUAUAUUAAUUUUCCUGCACACUUAAGUAAAGGUAUUAGACAUAAAUAAAUGAGAAUGUUUUAUUAUCAUCAAAAACUAAUGAAGCCAACAAAUGGAGUAUGGAGCUUCAAAGAAUUUGGGACAGCAUAGGUGAUGCAGACCCAAUAAAAUUACACUAGCUUGUGCUAUUUCUUCUCUAUAUAAUUACAAGUUGUACUAAUUUGGUUGUGACUUGAAUUUAGACUCCUAAUUGUAAUGGAAAAUAUCCUAAAGAGUUUAGGAUUGCCCCAAAUAAGAUUCUCAAAUCAAAUUGACAAAGAAAUAGGACUCUUGGCCAUAAAGAUCUAAUCCUAGUUGGACUAGAAUUGUAAAAAUUGAGGACAACAAGGAUUAAAUUUUCUAAUAAGAUUAGAAAGCCUAAUUGGAUUAGGAUUCCUUUGAAUAUUAAAUUUCUAAUAUGAUUAAACUCCUAUUGAGAAUAAGGGUCAGAUUUAAAUUCAUAGUCCUAAAUGGUUUAAGAUUACAAAGUCUAUGCUUAAUUUAAUUUCUAGUAGGACUAGGACUUCUAAAUUGGUGCAAGACAUUUAAUGGGACUUGGACAUCAAAUUAUUUGGAUUAACAUCUUCAAAGGUUGAGUAAUAUUAUUUCCAAAUGACAUAUGAGAUCUUCAAUUUGAAUUAAACAUAAGUUUUAUAUAUUCAUUAUAUGAUUAUAAAUGUAUGAGGCUAAUUAUGGACUUAGACCACUAUAAUGUGCUAUGGAUGGUUAUGGUUGAAUGUAUUUGGUAUUUAUUUUAUAAAUAAAGAGUGUGUGCCCUCCCUUUCCUUUAUUUUAUUUAAGAGUUGUAAAAUUCUCUUAUCAUCUUUCUCCCUCAAAUGUAACUUGAGGUUUCUUUACAUAUAUGUAAUUAGAAUUUAUAGGAUUAUAUUAGGAAGAAAAUUUUGUAAUUCCAAGAAUGAAGGACGAAGGCACCAAGGAGACAUGAACAUUACAAGACUACAAGAUAUGGUGAUAUUUGUAUGUAAUCCCUUAGGAUUUAACCAACUAAUUUCCUUCAAUGGCUUAAGGAAAUUACAUUAGAUAAAAGUCCAUAAUCAUUUUAGUAGUAUGCAUGUGAUAGAUUUAUUUUAUGCAAUAUUAUAAAUGCAAUGUAUGCCAAAUUCGAUGAGACCUAAAUAACAAGAUAAAAGCAACAACAUCCCUCAUUAAAAUAUUGAGUCACAUGCUUCGUAUGAUUAAGUUGCCUUCCACCAUAUAACAAGAUAAGUAGGCUACCCUUUUAGUUGGAGACUUGUUGAGUCACUCAAGGUCAAACUUUUACACAGGCAUGUUUAAGUUAUUGGUGGGUCUUACUCAACUAAAACUGUAUGGUUCAGAUGUGUCACACUUGACCACAUGGUUUUAGAGGUAGGGUUAGGCGAAAUGCAUAUGAUGCAUGUAGACAAUGAGUUGUCAGCUAACUGAUAUGGGAGUUGCAUGUGGAUGCAAUUGAUAAGUUAUGUUAUCUACCCAAUUAGGCUUAUUGUGAUUUGUUGAGUCACUUAAAGUUGCAAUAAUUUGAAAGAGGUCCUAGCCCACUAGAAAUACCUAGCAAAGAUUUUCGUAUAAUAGUGAGGGCUAUUUUUACAAAAAAUUAGUGUUAAAUUGAUUUAAAACAUGAAAGGCUAAUACAAAUACUUUUUCUAUAUUUAUAGGUUGCUAGAAUGGUUAUGAUAAUAAUUGCUACUUUGCUUGGCAUACUUGAUGCCAUCAGCCUAAAAUGUUUGGAUUGGUAUGUUAGUAUAAGCCCUACAAGCCAAUCUAUGGUUGUAUGGGAAUUACAAUUUUGAGAUAUUCAUGUAUGACAUUUCGUUAUUCAUAAUAACAUUGAGGUAGUUCUUUAUCCAUAAGUUUGUAAUUUAAUUACUUUUUAUACUUACGUAGAUAAAGACCAUGAAACUAUAUAUGCGUUGCAAAAGAAUUGUAUUGGGAUACAAUUAUGAGAUCCUUAUGCAUUAAAGCAUUGUUCCUAAAAGUUCCUGAUCAUUGUAUUAUUGAGACAGGGCAUUAAUAAUGCUCAAAGAUUGGCACAUGUUAUGUUUCUUACUUGUGAAGUAAGCAAUCGUUCUCAUAGGUUGAAGUAUAGAGAUACUUGGAACUAGCAUGUGGGUGCUUGCCAUGGGAGAGCGAGUUCACUGAACAUGACCCACCAUGAGAAGUGCAUUUGGUAUUUCACUCAAGUGUCUAUGCAAUACUUCUCAUGUGUUAGUUGUGUAAAUACUCCCUAUACUUGAGACACCAGGUUGUCUUAUAUGUCGAGUGCUAUGUUUUGAUUUCAUCCCUAUGGGUGCCUAACCAAGGAUGCCAAAACAUGAUGCUUUUGGGUAUAGCAUGAAGAUGUGAAGGCAAAUGAGUGGUCAAGAUAGGAAUCAUCACCCCAAGUGAUUCAAAGGGAAAUAUCUCAUUAGUUCUUGGUUGAUAUUAGCUUAAUCAAAUCCUUGGCCAAGGUGAUUAGGAGAUUAUGAAAUGAGUUUCAUAAGUCUCCAUAAAGCUAAUGAUCUAACUGCAAGAACAAAAAUGGAGAUCAAUAAGAGUAGGCACUGUACCAAACUCUUAUUAUCUUCGGGAUAUAUGAUGAGAGAAUAAAUUACACUAAAAACUGUACACUGAAAGGUUGUCAAAGAAUCCUUUGACUUUUCUAACAAUUAGGUGGCCAUGAUGCAUUGCUAGAUGCCAAUCAUGGUCUAUGGAAUUGAAUUAGUGUAAGUAAUCCUUAGACUUGUGAUACCAGGUCAUCUUGUAUGUGAAUGGUCAUGCUUUGAUUUCACCUUUACGGGUUUGGAGAUGACCAGAUGCUUAAACAAGGUGCUUUUAAGUAUGGAAUAAAGCAUGCGAAGAUGAAUGAGUAGUCUAGAGAGAAUUCAUCACCCCAAGUGAUUUGAAGGGAACAUAUCUCAUUUGCUCCUAACUUAUAUUAAUUAAAAGUCCUUGGCCAAGGCAAUCUUGAUAGGUCAAUAUAGAAGCUGUAAGACUAAUAUGGAUAAGUUAGAAAGUAGACACCGAGCCAGGCUUUCUAUCUAUCUGGGAUAUAUGAUGAAAGGGUCAAAUUAUACUAAAAUAUUGUACACUAAAAGGUUAAUCAAUCAUAUUGACUCUCCUAACAUUUGGGUGGUCAUGAUGUAUUGCUAGAUGCCGCUCAUGAUCUAUAAAUAUAAAUAUAAAUUCUUAAUUGAAUUAAUUUAUAUUUAUUACUAAUAUGUUGAAAACCUAAUGGGUCACAAACAUAAGGUGAAUUGUCGAAAUUAAUUUGAGUUCAAUUGGAUGUGAUCUAAUUGAUUUUAUAGAGGCUUAAUCCAAUUAAGUAUUGGGCUAAAUCAAAUAUGAUUUGAUAAAGUAUUGCAUAAAGGCCCAAUUAGCCCAAGACAUUUUAUAAUCCUUAUUGGUUAUAAAGUAAGUCAAUUAACUCUAUAACAAAAUCCCUUAGCCGCCUCUUGAAAGAACUUGAAGAGUUCUAUUUUAUUUUCUCAUGUGUUGAGAUAGGAUCACAACCAAAAAGAGAGAAACACAAGAGAGCUCAAAGUUUAGAGUUUGCUAGCACAAACUUCAACUUAGUGAUUCACACACUUUUAGUGAAGAGAUUUUGGCAAAUCACUAUGUAGAUCACCAUUAGAGGCAGGACAAUUGUGUUGUUGUGGUUUGAUAAGUCCUAGUUGGUGUACAAAAGUUAAAACGAAAAGCCAAAGAGGACUCCACGAAAGAAAGCAGACUAUCAGGUAUGUCAAAAUUUUGUUUGUGAUUUUUCUAGAUUAGUUUCAAUUAAAGUAAUCCAUGACUUUGGGAAUUAAAAAUUUAAUAAUAUUCUAUUACGAAUGAGUUGUUUUCGCAUGAUUUAAAUCUCCAAUAAUAACCCCUCUUAUUUAUAUAGGUGGUGUAUACAAUAAAUGGAAAAAAAAUAAAGAAGAGAGACAUUAGGAUAUUUAUAAUGUAUUGCAAUUAAUUCUUUAUAUAUAAUUAAAAUUAAUGCUUGAUUACCAUAAUCUGUUCAUAAUGAAAUCCAUACGAAGAAAAUAAAUUAUAAAGAAAAUUUAAGGGAAGAAGAGGUAGAGAGCGGGAGGCGUGGAUAAAGGGCCUGACAAAAAGGGGCAAAUGAUGGGCAUGGACAUGGAGACAAUGAAAAUAUGACUUUGUUUUUCUUGUUUACAUAUUUCGAGAGACAAAGAACAAGAAAGUGAGGACAGUAUUGGGUGGCCCUCCAUGUCGGGAGGACGUGCUCUCUCUGUCUGAGCCUGAGACUUGAGGCGUGCUCUCUUUUGCCUCCUCAACAACUUUCUGCACCUCUUUUUUCUUCUCCCAAGUAAUCAUUGCUCCCAUACCACUCCCUUUCAUUGCAUAACCUCAUCAUUAUUCAAUUCUACUUUCAAAACCAUCAAGUUUUCAAAUAUAUUCUAAAGUUUGGAUAAUUGGUGCCAAAAUUACUAAUAAAAAAACAAAAUUAAAGUGUGGAUAAGUCUUUUAAUUUGGUAUAUUUAGUUGAUAUAAACUAAGUCCGAAUCCAAUUAAGAAUUUAAAGAUCCAUAUUUUUCUUUAAAAAAAAUCCAUUUUUAGGUUUCAAGUCCCAAAGUCGGUACAAGUGAGAUAAGAUUUAUAAAAUGUGAGAGAGUUAAGUUUAAUUUAAAAUUUUUAUAUACAAUAAAAAAGAAAGUAGAAAAAAGUAGAUUAUUUUUUCUUGUAUGAUUCAUUUUGAGCUAUAAUCUUAUCCUUAUGUUUUCUCGAAUGUACACUUACUGCCUUAUAUUUGCAACAUUCCCUUUGGAGAAAGUACUAAAAUUUAUCAUUUGAGGAGUCAAUAUCGUGAUAAGGCCCAAGGCUACAGGCCCAGCCAUGUUGACCGCCAAAAGUUGUCUUCAAAACCAAAUCUCAAGCGUACCAUCAAAGGCGAUUUAAGCUUCGGCGUUGUUAAGAUAAACAUUUAAUGUAGGUAAAUUAUAAAUCAAUUAAAAUUGUCAAUUCACUACAAAAAAAUUGGCUUUUUCUGAAAAAAAAUUUCAAUCAAAAUUUUCAACAAACUUCUAACAGAAUUUCAAUGAAAAUUUAAUUUUAUUUUUUUGACAAAUUUUUCAUGAAAUUUUUUAAAUAGAAUAUUUUCAUUAAAAAUCUGUUGAAAAUUCUUUUGGUACAAAAGAAUUUUAAUCCCGCCAAAAUUUCCAUCAAAAUUUGCCAAAGAAAAAUAAUCCAUUAAAAAUCCGUCAAAAAAUUUAUGACAUCAAAAAAAUUGAAACCCGCUAAAUUUUCCAAUGGAAAUUUCCAUUUGAAAAAGCUAUUGCUAACAGAAAUUUUUCAACGAAAUAAUCCAUUGGAGAACUUUGUCGGUAUUACUAUUUUUAAAUUUUUUAUUUAAAAUAUAUUAAGAAUUUUUAAAAAUUUUAUUAAUUCUUUAUAAAAAAUAUAUUAAUAAAAUUAAAUAUAUACAUACUGAGUUUUAUAAUGUUAAACAUUUAAAUAUGCUUUCCUUUGCUUUUUUUAUAUAUUUCGAAAACUUUAUUAAAUAAUAAAUUAUAAAUUAAUAGUUUCAAAUUCAUUAAUGUUAUAAAAUUAGUUUAUAAAAAUAAGAUAAUAAUUAACUUUUGUAUUUUAUAAGAAUAGAUGAUAAAAUAUAAUAAUAUAUUAAAUAAAAACUAAUAAUACUUUAGGUACUAAUAUUAGUUAAUAUAAAUUAAUUAGAAGGCUUAUGUAUAUAGUAAACUUAUUAAUAUAAUAUAUUAAAAAUAUAUUAAUUUAUUAUAUAUAUACAAAUUAGAAUCAUAUUAUUAGAAUAUAUUACCUAUAUAUAUAUAUAUAUAAACCUGUAUUAUCAUAAAAUUGCAAGUUAUUUAUUUGAAAUGAUAUAACUUUAUAAGUUAAUAUAUAUAUAUGAUAUUAAAUAUACUAUAUAUAUAUAUAUAUUAAUAUGUUAUAAUUAUUACACAUAAAUAUAACUGUAUAGUUAUAUGUGUAUUAAUUAUAACAUACACAUAUCUAUUUUAUACAUAAGCAUUAGUGUUAUAAUUUAUAAUAAAUUUUAUGUACAUGACUAUAGUUAAUAACUUUAUUAGUUAUUACUUUAUAACUAUAUAUUACUGUAACUUAUAACAAAAUUUAUUUAUAUGCUUACACUUAAUAACUUUAUUAUUUAUCAUCUUAGUUUUUAUAACAUAUUGUUUACAAUUAGUUAUUAUUGAUACAAAAUUUAUAAUAUAUAACAAUAUAACUUAUAAUUUGUGUCAUUUCCUAUAUAUAUACAAUAAAAUAAUACAUAUAAAUAUAGACUAUAUAAAAUUAAUAUAUAACUAAUACUUAUUUUAUAUAGAUAAUUAAUAUUUUAAAAAAUAUAUAUAAUAAAUAAUUUAGUUAAUAUAUAAUAAAUAAUAUAUUAUAUAGAGAAUAAAAUAAUAUUUAAUUUAUUUACAAUUUAAUAAUAUUAAAUAUAUUAUACUAAACAUUAAUGUAUAAUAUAUUAUGAAUAUAUAAAAUUAUUACUUUUAUAACAUUUAUAGUUUAUAUAGUAAAAUUUAAUAUAAAUAUAUUAAUAUUUGUUAAUAAUAAUUAUUCAUUUAUUUAAAAAAUAAAAAAAAUUAAACUUUUGUUGAUUUUAAAAUUUAUGUAAUAAAAUUAAGUCUCAAAUCCCUAACAACCCCUAGCCCGUGUCUCUUGAAGUCAUUUUACCAAAAUUUCAUAUCUGAAACACGACCGAUAGCCCAUUGCCUCUUGCUGCCAAAGUCGUUGCCGAGACCAUUGAACGACAGCUAAAGCUUUCUUUGUUGUGCCAACUAAAUUUUCUUUUGUCGUGCCGACUAAAGUUUCCUUUACCUUGCCGACUGAAAUUCUGAGUGUAUGAAAUCACUGGCAAUAUAUCCUUUUAGGAUAUUUAGAAACAUUGAAGCUAUAAUAUUUUUUUUCACAGAUUAUUACGUCACAGGCCGCAGUUUAAAGUGAAUGGUGUCUUUGAUGCUUUGCAUUGAUCCAUAAUUGAUCCAAAAUCUGUUUUGGUUGCAUUGAUUUGUAACGUAGCUCCCAUGAUGGAGUGGACUGAUAAUCAAUAUGGGACUCUUUCCCGCCUUAGUUUCAAAACAUUCUUGGCUUUACACAAAGAUGCUUGCAGUUGAAACCAUUGUUUAUCAAAAAGGGAAUCUGGUAAGUUAGUAGUUAUUAUUAAUAUUAAUCUUUUGUUUUGAAUAUGUAAUAUAUAUUAAUAUUAUUAAAUAUACAUAAAUAAUUUCAUAAUAGUAAAAGAGUAUAUAUAUAAUAUAAUAUAGUAAUUAUUAUAUAUACCAACUAUGAAACAUAUAAAACUAUAUCAUAUAUUAAUUUGAUAUACUAUAUCAUAUUAAUAUGUAAUUUCUUUUAUAAUUGAGGGAAGGAUGAUUCGAACCUACUCUUUUGAUAGUGGAGUAUAUAUCAAUCAAUGAGUUAAAUACUCGAGUGUAAUAUUAAUAUGUAACUUAAUUAUAGAUAUUGUUAUAUAAUUAAUCAAGUUGUAUUUUACAAAAUGAUAUAUUUAAUUAAUAAUAAGUCACAAAAAUUUUUACUGAAUCUUAUUUUUGUUAGACAAAAAAUUUUUUUUUCUUUUUUUAUUUUAUAAAACGGCUGAGAAGUAGCUGGAGGCUUGAAAUUUUAGUUUGCUAAUAUAACAUAUUUAUAUAGCGAAAUUAAAUUGUAAUACUAGAUACAACAGUUAUAUUUUAAUUCAGUUAAUUCCUUUUGAACUUAAUUAAUUUUUCACUUAGUUUUGGUCUAUUCCAAUUAAGUCUAACUUAAUUGAUUAUCCUUAUUUAAUCUCAAUCAUGUCACUUAAUGUGUGUGACCCAUUAGGCUUUUAACAUGUUGACAAUAAUAUAAAUCCUAAUCAAAUAUCAAUUUGAUAAUUGCUUUAUAUUUAUAGAUCAUGAGCGGCAUCUAGCAAUACAUCAUGACCAUUCAAAUGUUAAAGAGUCAAUUAAAGAAUUUGACAAAGCCCUUUAGUGAUAAGCCUCUCAAUACAAUACGGUCUUUUCAUCAAAUAUCUCGGAUAUGUCAUAAAGCAUGGCUCAAUGUCUACUUAUAACAUUCCAUAUUAGUUCUCAGAAUUCAUGACUAACCUUAUGAAUUUAGGAAACUAACUUUCCUCAAAUUCAUCAUGCUUUUGCCAAAGACUUCAUACAAGUUAAUAAAAAAUUGAGAACAAGUGAGAUACAUUCCCUCAUAUCACUUGAGGUGAUGAAUUCUCUUUUGACCACUCAUUCACCUUCGCAUGCUUCAUGGCAUGCCCAAAAACACCAUGUUUAGGCAUUUGGUUGCCUCCAGACCCGUAAGGGUGAAAUCAAAGUAUGUCAUUCCUCAUACAAGAUAACCUGGUGUCUCAAGUCCAAGGACUAGUUGCACAACUAUCACAUGAGAACAUAUUCCAUAGACACUUGAGUGAAAUACCAAAUGGAGUUCUCAUAUCGGGUCAUGUUCAAUGAACUUGUUCUUUAACAUGCACCUACAUGUUAUCCUCAAGUAUCCCAUAUACUUCAAUCUAUGAGAUUAAUUACUUACUUCCUACGUAAGGAGGCUUAACAUGUACCAGUCUUUGAGCAUUGUUAAUGCCCUAUCUUGAGAAUACAAUAACCAGGAACAAUUUUAGGAACAUGGCUUGAUGCAUAGUGAUCUCAUAAUUGUAACAACUUUACAAUUCUCUUGCAAAGCCUUUAUAUUUCAUGGGCUGCAUCCAAUUAGUACUUAAUAACUCAUUAUUAUUGUACUAACAUGAAGGAAAACCUCUAUCAAAUAUAGUUAUGUGAUUAAGUAUGCAUUAAAUGGCAAUCUAUAUUCCUUGACCAAUCCAAUUGGCUCAAGGGCAUAUACCAAUGUGUGCCUCGCUGAUAGUUAGUGCGCCCCGUUGAUCCUCUACUUAUUUUAGAAAAGGUUGGGCAAAGGGGAGUGAAUGAACACAACACAUUUUUAAUUAAUCUUACUUUAUCUUCUACUUCUUUUCUUUGUUUUAGUUUAGAUCUAUUCUCUUACCAAAUCUUGAAGGUUGUAUGUUUAGUUAUUCUUAUUUUUUUGCAUCGUUGUCUAGCAUUGAUUUGUCUAACUAAAGAUGCCAAUUAGAAAUGCUUAAUCAUUCACCCUUUUGUUUUAUGUUGUAUGAGUAGGCGACCUCAUGAUGAUUUAAUGAAGGUAUAACUUUUUCCAUAUCAUGAUAAAAUGACUUGUUGGUGGCCUAACUUAGGAAAUAAAACUCAAUCUCAAGAAUUUUGGCCAUCUUAUGUUGUGUAUUGGAACUUUAUUUUUUUUUAUUUCUUUUGUUUUGUAAUAUCUUCCUUCUUGAUACUAUAGUGCAUUAUGUAAUCUAACUGCAAGACCAAAGCUUUGGGAGGAAUAGGCAAAAGUGAUACCUUGGAGAAGGUUAAUCAAAUUUGGGUUAAGUUUCAAUAUGACAGAGAAAAAGGAAUGAGAGAAAAAGGUAUGUUCGAUUCUUUCUAGCUAAUUUCUUUUUUAUACAAAAAAUUCUAUUUUCGACUUUUGCUUCUAUUGGAUAAAUCUAAAGGUGGCAAAAGCUGAAUUGUCCCAAUUAACAUGCUUAAUCUAUAUGAACGAACUUGAAUUUAAUAGAUAAAGCAAUUACUUGAAAAUCUGGCUUUGACCUGAAACUUGAAAUGGUUUAAACCCAUAUAGGAUGACUGUAUGCUUGUAGAGUAAAAUGCAAUGAAAGUUGGUCCAAACUCAAAAGACAUAUCUUACCAUCUACAAGGCAACUUGAAUUGAAUUUGAAAGCUAGCAAUCAAAACCUAACCCUGACCAGAAAUAACUUGCCCAAUUACCACCUUUAAAUGGAUCCCCAAGUCUCAAUUUGUCAGAAAUGUGUAAAACCCGACCCUAUAAACACAUGUCAUGACAUACAUGCACUGAGUAGCAAGUUAUUACGCUAGGAAAGCACCUAAGAAUAGACGAAACUCGGUAUCGUACCUAACGAUACACUUGAGUUGAUUUAACCUCAAACUAGUUCAAAUAGGAAUUAUAGGAUGAAAUUUAAUAUUUUACAGCCUAGGAAUGACUAAAAAUGAUUGUUUGGAGUUCGAGGGUUCAUUUGGGGUAAAAUUGGAAAUUUUGAUGUUCAGGGGUAAAAUCGUAAUUUUGCCACCCGUGGAUAAAAUUUGAGAUUUUGAGAGAAUUUAGAUCACAUUUGACAAAUUGGAGAAUGGUAUGAGUAUAAGGGAUGAAAAAUAUGUCUAUGGGCAAUUUUUCAGUUUUUGGGGCAAAAAUGUAAUUUUUUACUUUUACAGGGGUAAAAGUGUAAAUUUCAAAAAUUACUCCACCAAGACUUUGGAUAAGUCUGAGAAUUUUAUCUAAGCUAUGGAUAUGUAGGACAAGUGUAUGGUGAAAAUUUGAAAACAAAUGGAUGAAAUUUUAAAAACGGACCAAUGGGAAAGUGACACAUGGCAUUUUUUAAUAGUUUAAUAUUAUUUUAAUGAAAAGUCAGCCCAUUUAAACCCCAUUUUAAGUAAUGGCCNNNNNNNNNNNNNNNNNNNNNNNNNNNNNNNNNNNNNNNNNNNNNNNNNNNNNNNNNNNNNNNNNNNNNNNNNNNNNNNNNNNNNNNNNNNNNNNNNNNNNNNNNNNNNNNNNNNNNNNNNNNNNNNNNNNNNNNNNNNNNNNNNNNNNNNNNNNNNNNNNNNNNNNNNNNNNNNNNNNNNNNNNNNNNNNNNNNNNNNNNNNNNNNNNNNNNNNNNNNNNNNNNNNNNNNNNNNNNNNNNNNNNNNNNNNNNNNNNNNNNNNNNNNNNNNNNNNNNNNNNNNNNNNNNNNNNNNNNNNNNNNNNNNNNNNNNNNNNNNNNNNNNNNNNNNNNNNNNNNNNNNNNNNNNNNNNNNNNNNNNNNNNNNNNNNNNNNNNNNNNNNNNNNNNNNNNNNNNNNNNNNNNNNNNNNNNNNNNNNNNNNNNNNNNNNNNNNNNNNNNNNNNNNNNNNNNNNNNNNNNNNNNNNNNNNNNNNNNNNNNNNNNNNNNNNNNNNNNNNNNNNNNNNNNNNNNNNNNNNNNNNNNNNNNNNNNNNNNNNNNNNNNNNNNNNNNNNNNNNNNNNNNNNNNNNNNNNNNNNNNNNNNNNNNNNNNNNNNNNNNNNNNNNNNNNNNNNNNNNNNNNNNNNNNNNNNNNNNNNNNNNNNNNNNNNNNNNNNNNNNNNNNNNNNNNNNNNNNNNNNNNNNNNNNNNNNNNNNNNNNNNNNNNNNNNNNNNNNNNNNNNNNNNNNNNNNNNNNNNNNNNNNNNNNNNNNNNNNNNNNNNNNNNNNNNNNNNNNNNNNNNNNNNNNNNNNNNNNNNNNNNNNNNNNNNNNNNNNNNNNNNNNNNNNNNNNNNNNNNNNNNNNNNNNNNNNNNNNNNNNNNNNNNNNNNNNNNNNNNNNNNNNNNNNNNNNNNNNNNNNNNNNNNNNNNNNNNNNNNNNNNNNNNNNNNNNNNNNNNNNNNNNNNNNNNNNNNNNNNNNNNNNNNNNNNNNNNNNNNNNNNNNNNNNNNNNNNNNNNNNNNNNNNNNNNNNNNNNNNNNNNNNNNNNNNNNNNNNNNNNNNNNNNNNNNNNNNNNNNNNNNNNNNNNNNNNNNNNNNNNNNNNNNNNNNNNNNNNNNNNNNNNNNNNNNNNNNNNNNNNNNNNNNNNNNNNNNNNNNNNNNNNNNNNNNNNNNNNNNNNNNNNNNNNNNNNNNNNNNNNNNNNNNNNNNNNNNNNNNNNNNNNNNNNNNNNNNNNNNNNNNNNNNNNNNNNNNNNNNNNNNNNNNNNNNNNNNNNNNNNNNNNNNNNNNNNNNNNNNNNNNNNNNNNNNNNNNNNNNNNNNNNNNNNNNNNNNNNNNNNNNNNNNNNNNNNNNNNNNNNNNNNNNNNNNNNNNNNNNNNNNNNNNNNNNNNNNNNNNNNNNNNNNNNNNNNNNNNNNNNNNNNNNNNNNNNNNNNNNNNNNNNNNNNNNNNNNNNNNNNNNNNNNNNNNNNNNNNNNNNNNNNNNNNNNNNNNNNNNNNNNNNNNNNNNNNNNNNNNNNNNNNNNNNNNNNNNNNNNNNNNNNNNNNNNNNNNNNNNNNNNNNNNNNNNNNNNNNNNNNNNNNNNNNNNNNNNNNNNNNNNNNNNNNNNNNNNNNNNNNNNNNNNNNNNNNNNNNNNNNNNNNNNNNNNNNNNNNNUAUUAUUGUACAUUAUAACUUUGUAAAUUAUUGUAUGUAUGAAUUUAUUUUAUUCUUACGCUACAAAAAUUAUUUAUGUAUAGUUCUAUAAAAAUUGUUUUAUAAGAAAAUGAAAUAUAUUAUCAAAUAUUUUUAUUUAGCUUAAUUAGCCAACUUUUCACUCUAUGUCACGACCCAGAACCUCCCUCGGGCCCAUGACAACUGCCGCAACGUCCCGAUUGACACUCAUUACCCGGAAUGCCAAUCGAAACCCCGCAAGGCUUACAUAUCAGUUUCUUUCCUUUCUUGUGAGCAAUCGUUGUUAAACAUUCCAUUUAAAACAAUUAUCGGUCGUUUCCGUCUCAAAUAAAUCCAAAGAUUUGUUUUUUUUAAAAGAAAGAUUUAUAGACAAAUAUCACUAUUCAAAAUAUUGAUUAAAAUAUAGCAUUUUUAUAUAAAACAAUAUUUAUAGAAACACGUGUAAGAAAUCUUUUAUAAUGUGUAAGUAAAAUAAAUUCAUACAUACAAAAAUUUACUAAAUUAUAAUGUACAAUAAUGGUUACAAUGACAAGUGGCCCAAAAUACACCCAGUGUUGGUGCUAGAAACCUACUGUCUGUGUGGUAGAGAUGUCAACUGGAAUCCUCGACAAAAUAGGGUAUCUACAAGCUACCAUAGGCCUGAAAUGUUUGGAAAGGAGGUGGGUGAGAUUUUGCAAUCCCAAUGAGUAAACAGACAUUAUCAUAAAUAUCUAAAGGCGAGUAACAUGGAGGCAAGUUUAAACAACAAUUUAUAAACCAUUUCAUAAGGUUUUUAAUUUAUUUCAUAAACCAUAAAAUAUUUAUAAUUUACCAAAAUAGUUGUUAAGGCUUAUGUCUUUUAUUAAAAACAAGGCUCAAGCCAAAACUAAUCCUCGGGGAUACCUUGGCUGAGGCAUCUAACCGAGUCCGUCAAGGUUGUUAAGAUAUUCACACGUGAAACACAUUUUUAUUUUUAAAACAAGUCGUUCCUUGACGUUGGCCGAGUUACAUAUUCACGUGGGGGUUCGAUGUGAAGUGAGCUCUAAUACUACCCCGGGAGUUACCUUCCUCACCUCUACAACCGAAGUAACUAUAUAACCAGGUUUACCGUGCCCCUCUAAUAGGCAGUCCACGGAAACUCGUCACUGUAGUGACUAACCCACCAAUUUUAAUAAAAUUUUGACAGUAUAACGUGGCUUUUAUUUAUUUAUCCAGUCUGCAUAGUAAAAACAACUUACAUAAAUUUUCCAAUGCACUUACAAAAUAUAGCCACAUAUACUCAUAUAUCAUAAGCCAUUCAUAGGAAAAUACAUAAUUUUCAAGAUAGUUAACAGCCUCCAAUUACUCAUUUUCAUAAUUAACACUAUAUAUCUUUAUUUGUCACAUUUAUUUGUAAAACAUCAAAAAUCUCGUUUUAAUCUCGUUUUUAUUUCAUAAAAUACAUAAAGAGCAUUUAAAAAUAAACUCUAGAUAAUUUAUAAUAAUAAUAAGUUUACUCACCGUUUGUACAAACUAAAAGCUUUCUAGGUGCCCCGAUAACUACUCAUCGGGUAUGAUUUCCUUGCCUUUACCGGAAGGCUCUCCUCCUAGACACAUUGCAAAAUUUGCUCAAUUCAUCACAUUAAUGCUAAAUCACUAUAUAUUUGACUUAAAUCCUAUACUAAUGCAUGGUAUGAAAUGCAAUAGCCAAAAACAGCUUAAACGUGGUAUUAACUUAUUUUUGGCACUUUACCAGAUAAAUUGCUAACGUGCUCCAUUUUAGCUCUAAAUUGUCCCAUUCUCUCUCCAACAUUUCUAACUAUUAAUUAUCAGCCAAUAUUCCUCUAAAAUCACCAAAAUCAGCUCACUCUCUUGCUUGGAAAAUUCGGCCAAAAAUGGGACAUUAACUCGGUUAAUUUUCCAUUUUGUUUUUCUAUCACAUUUAACCAUUUUUCAUCAUUUUCUCUUCAUUUCUCUUAAAAUAAAAAUCAGAUUAUCAUCAUUGUACCUCAUUGCAGAUUCAGCCAAGGGUAGGUAUUGUGAAAAUUUAAUGCUUUCUUACCCAAUUUAAUUUCUAAACACAUUUAACUAACUAAAACUAUCAAUUUAACUAAAAAUCAAAACCAAAAAAUUUCAAAAUCUCUCCCCUAGAAUUUCGUCCAGCCCUUGAUGUCACUUUUAGAUCUCUCUCCUCAAGCAUGAUAAAUGGAAACAAAGGCAUAAGAAAGGUAGAAAUCAAGCUAAAGUCGAAAAAUCUUACCAUUAGACGCAUAAACGGGCGAAAAACGCGAAUUCCCCUUUCAAUUUUCUUGUUUCUCUUUGGUUUUUCUUUUUUUCUUCCUUUCCUCUCUAUUUUCUCUCUUGUUCUCCCUUAUGACCGGCCAGCACUUAAAAUGGGGUUUAAAUGGGCUGACUUUUCAUUAAAAUAAUAUUAUAUCAUUAAAAAAAAUGUCACGUGUCACUUCCCCAUUGGUCCAUUUUUAAAAUUUCAUCCAUUUGUUCUCAAAUUUUCACCAUACACUUGUCCAACAUAUCCAUAGCUUAGAUAAAAUUCUCAAACUUAUCCAAAAUCUCGGUGGAGUAAUUUUUGAAAUUUACACUUUUACCUCUGUAAAAGUGAAAAAUUACAUUUUUGCCCAAAAAAUUGAAAAAUUGCCCAUAGACAUAUUUUUCAUCCCUUAUACUCAUACCAUUCUCCAAUUUGUCAAAUUUGAUCUAAAUUCUCUCAAAAUCUAAAAUUUUGUCUGCGAGUGGUAAAAUUACGAUUUUACCCCUAAACAUCAAAAUUUUCAAUUUUACCCUUAAUGAACCCUCGAACUUCGAACAAUCAUUUUUAGUCAUUCCUUGACUAUAAAAUAUUAAAUUUCAUCCUAGAAUUUCUAUUUGAACUAGUUCAAGGUUAAAUCAACUUAAGUGUACCGUUAGGUACGAUACCGGGUUUCGUCUAUUCUUAGGUGCUUUCCUAGCAUAAUAACAUGCUACGUAGUGCAUGUAUGUCAUAACAUGUGUUUAUAGGGUCGGAUUUUACACUCUAAAUAAAUGAUUUAGAUUACAAAAAUUUAUUUUUAAUCGGCAGUGGAUAUUUUUCUACCAUACGUUGUAUCUUUAUCAAGUUUCGAAUUUUUUUGGUAAAAAUGACCAAAAUACCCCUAUGUGGCAAAAAUUUUAUUUUGAUUGUUUUCGAUCUAAAAUAUUUUAUAUUUUCUUAAAACUCGACAUUUAACAAUGAUUGCUCACAAGAAAGACAAGAAAUUGAUUUGUUAGCCUUGCGGGGUUUCGAUUGGCAUUCCGGAUAAUGAAUGUCAAUCGGGACGUCGCGGCUGUUGUCAUGGGCCCGAGGGAGGUUCUGGGUUGCGACAAUUCAGUUGGUAUAAGAGCUUUUGGUUUAAAAGCUUAUGGUUUUGAAAGAUGUUUUUGAUUUUUAAAGUUCUUGGAUUUAAAGUUAUUUUUAAAAUAAUUUAUAGUGUCAGUGUGGCCCAGUUAAGAUUAGUUAGUUGCAUCUAGUUGCAUAUAGAGCCUUAAGUCAUCUAAAUCAAUUUCGUUCUUUUUGUAGAUCAUUAUGCCUCCUCGACGUGAGCUACCACCUAUCACUAGAUCUAUCGGUAGGGGAAGAGGUCGCCCUAGACAGAGUCGGUCGGAUUUCAUAGAAGAGGAGUCGGCUGCAUCUUCUUUUAGAGCAGUUCCUACUGUUGAGUCUACAAACAUUCUUGUACCUCCUCCACCACCUAUUGCUACUCUUGGCAUACUUGCCAUGACACCCGAGGUAGCUCAGACAUUAGCGACUUUUCUCGCUGCUCUUACGGGUUAGGCUCAGGCUGGCUAGUUCCACCCGCUGUUUCCCCUGUAACAGCCCUAGUACCACCACCUCCUAUUCCACCCCAAACACCGGAUGUCUCCAUUUUUAAGAAAUUGAAGGAAGCUAGACAGUUGGGUUACAUCUCGUUUACUAGUGAGUUGGAUGCGACCGCAACUAAGGAUUGGGUUAAUCAUGUUUCAGAGACUCUUUCUAAUAUGAGAUUAGAUGACGACAUGAAGCUAAUGGUGGCUACUAGAUUACUAGAGAAGAGGGCUUGUACUUGGUGGAAUUCGGUGAAGUCUUGUUCCACUACUCUUCAGACAUGAUCUGACUUCCUCAGAGAAUUUGAUGGCCAGUAUUUUACUUACUUUCAUCAAAAAGAAAAGAAAAGAGAAUUUCUGAGCUUGAAACAAGGAAAUCUAACUGUAGAGGAGUAUGAGACUCGUUUUAACGAGUUUAUGUUAUAUGUGCCAGAUCUGGUGAAAUCUGAGCAGGAUCGGGCCAAUUAUUUCGAGAAAGGGCUCCGUAAUGAGAUCAGGGAAUGGAUGACAGUGACUGGUAGGGAGCCAGAUAAUGAAGUCAUGUAGAUGGCCUUGCGGGCUGAGAAGCUCGCCACUAAGAAUAGACGGAUCCGAGCUGAGUUCGCAAAGAGAAAGAAUUGGCCUACGUUUUCGAGUCAGUCUUCAAAGAGAGGUAGAGAUUCGACAUCUACUGCAGGAAGUACUACCUCAGCGUCUGUAGCAUCCACUAGACCUCCAUCUCAGCAGUCACAAUUGAGAUUUUCUAGAUUUGAUCGAUCAGUGAUGAGUAGACAAUGGGGGACUUCAGGAGGAUUGGAUAGAUGUCGUAAUUGUGGAGGAUUUCAUGUUGGGUCAUGUAGACAGCCUAUAAAGUGUUUUCAAUGAGACCAAUAGGGGCAUAUCAGGAGAGAUUGUCCUUAGUUGAGAUGGGGUACAGUAACUACUUCUACUCCUCUGACUCAUCCUAGAAUACCACGGAGAGACACUUCGAGAUCACAAUCCAGACAGGGCCUAGUGAUACAGUCAGGCAUGGGGAGUAAUACCCUAGAGUAGCCAUCUUUCAAACAAUAGUCUCAGAUUUCGACCAGGGUUUUUGCAGUGAUUGAGGAUGAAGCCCGAGUUUGACCUAGCACAGUGACAGGUACAUUGAUUGUGUUUGAUAGAGAUGCACAUCUUUUGAUAGAUUCAGGCUCCGAUAGAUCAUACGUGAGCAUAUCAUUUGCAUCAUUCUCAUAUAGGAACCUGUCACCAUUAGAGGAAGAGAUUGUAGUGCAUACUCCUCUAGGCGAGCGGUUAGUAAGAAAUACGUAUUAUAGAGACUGUGGUAUUAAAGUUAGGGAAGAAAAAUUUAUGGGUAAUUUAAUCCCUUUGGAGAUUCGGGACUUUGAUUUGAUCUUGGGUAUGGAUUGGUUGUCCACUCAUCGAGCAAAGGUGGAUUGUUUUAAGAAAAAAGUGAUUCUCUAAAGUUCAGAGGGAGCAGAAGUGGUAUUUACGGGGGAGCAUCGAGUAUUACAGUUUUGUGUAAUCUCGACCCUUAAAGCUUUGAAAUUGGUGCGAAAGGGAUAUCUGACAUACUUGGCUCACGUGAUUGAUAUAUCGAGGGAGGAACCUAAGUUAGAGAAUGUCCCCGUAGUAAGUGAGUUCCCUUAUGUAUUUCCUGAUGAAUUACUAGGACUUCCUCCCGAUCGUGUGUUUGAAUUCACCAUUCACUUAAUUUCGGGUACUACCCCUAUCUCUAUUCCUCCAUAUAGAAUGGCUCCGGCAGAGUUGAAGGAGUUGAAAGUACAAUUGCAAAAGUUGGUGGACAAGGGUUUUAUACGCCCUAGUAUAUCUUCGUGAGGAGCACCGAUUUUAUUUAUGAAAAAGAAAGACGGUACACUUCAGUUAUGUAUAGAUUACCGACAACUUAACAGAAUGACCAUUAAGAACAAGUAUCUGUUACCGAGGAUUGAUGAUCUUUUCGAUCAAUUACAGGGAGCUACAGUGUUUUCUAAGGUUGAUCUGAGGUCUGGGUAUCAUCAGUUGAGGAUUAAAGAACAGUAUGUACCCAAGAUAGCUUUUAGGACUCGAUACGAUCAUUAUGAGUUCUUGGACAUGCCUUUCGGGUUAACUAAUACACCGACAGCUUUUAUGGAUCUCAUGAACAGGGUGUUCCACCCUUACUUGGACAAGUUUGUUAUUGUGUUCAUUGAUGACAUCCUAGCUUACUCGAGAGAUAAUGAUGAGCACGCUACCCACUUGCGUAUAGUAUUACAGACUUUGCGGGAAAGACAGUUGUAUGCAAAGUUUUCGAAGUGUGAGUUUUGGUUACAGGAAGUGGUAUUCUUGGGACACGUAGUAUCCUGAGCUGGAAUAUAUGUUGAUCCAAAGAAGAUAGAGGCAAUUUUACAAUGGGAGCAACCUAAGACAGUGACGGAGAUUCAUAGUUUCCUCGGAUUAGCCGAUUAUUAUCGGAGGUUUGUUCAGGGGUUUUCCUUAAUAGUAGCUCCUUUGACCCGUCUAACUCGUAAGGGAGUUAAGUUUGUGUGGGAUGAUGUUUGUGAGAAUCGAUUUCAGGAGCUAAAGAACCGGUUAACCUCCGCUCCCGUUUUAACACUUCCUGUUAAUGGUAAGGGAUUUGUAGUAUAUAGUGAUGCCUCAAAGUUGGGGUUGGGGUGCGUAUUGAUGCAGGAUGAAAAAGUUGUGGCUUAUGCUUCUAGACAGCUAAAGAGGCAUGAAGCAAAUUACCCUACCCAUGAUUUAGAGUUAGCAGCAGUGGUGUUUGCUUUAAAAAUCUGGAGGCAUUACUUGUAUGGUGAGCAUUGUCAGAUAUUUACAGAUCACAAGAGUUUAAAAUAUUUGCUCACUCAGAAGGAGCUUAAUUUGAGGCAAAGGCGAUGGUUGGAGUUGAUAAACGAUUAUGACUUGGUGAUAAACUAUCAUCCGGGAAAGGCGAACGUUGUAGCUGAUGCCUUAAGUUGUAAGUCUUCAUCGUCUUUAGUAGCACUUCAAAGUUGUUAUUUUUCAGCAUUAUUAGAGAUGAAAUCUCUUGGGGUCCAGUUGAGAAAUGGUGAGGAUGGAUCCUUAUUGGCAAGCUUCAUUGUGUGACCUUCGUUACUUAAUCAGGUCAAGGACAUUCAGAGGUCUGAUGAUGAGUUAAGAAAAGAAAUUCAACAAUUGACCGAUAGGGGAGUCAGUGAGUUCAAAUUUGGAAAGGAUAACGUCUUGAUGUUUGAGACCGAGUUUGUGUUCUUGAGGGAAACCAGUUGAGACAGGCGAUCUUGGAAGAAGCCUAUUUAUCUGCCUAUGCAUUACAUCCCAGAAGCACCAAGAUGUAUAGGACUAUCAGGGAGAAUUAUUGGUGGCCGGGUAUAAAGCGAGACAGAGCAGAAUUCGUAGCGAAGUGUCUCGUAUGUCAGCAAGUUAAGGCGGAGCAUCAGAGGCCAGCAGGUACACUUCAAUCUUUUCCUAUUCCUGAGUGGAAAUGGGAGAAUGUAACUAUGGAUUUUGUUUUGGGACUACCGCAGACACAGAGGGGAAAGGAUGCGAUUUGGGUGAUCGUAGAUCGGUUGACUAAGUCCGCUCACUUUUUAGCAGUCUAUAGUACAUACUCUAUUGAGAAGCUGGCUCAGCUCUAUAUAGAUGAGAUUGUGAGGCUACAUGGAGUUCCCGUUUCUAUAGUGUCAGACCGAGAUCCUCGAUUCACUUCUCGAUUCUAGCUGAAAUUUCAAUAAGCUCUCGAAACCAAAUUGAAAUUUAGCACUGCUUUUCACCCACAGACAGAUGGUCAGUCAGAGAGGACUAUCUAGACUAUGGAGGAUAUGUUGAGGGCUUGUGUCAUGGAUUUUCUUGGGAGUUGGGAUAGACACUUGCCGUUAGUGGAAUUUGCUUACAACAACAGCUUCCAGUCUAGCAUUGGUAUGGCACUGUACAAAGUUUUAUAUGGAAGGAAAUGUCGUACUCCACUUUGUUAGGAUGAAGUGGGUGAAAGAAAGUUGUUAGUGUGGAAUUGAUUGAUCUAACUAAUGACAAGAUCAAGGUUAUACGAAAGAGGCUAAAGGUAGCCCAGGAUAGGCAGAAGAGCUAUGCAGAUAAAUGGAGAAAAGACUUGGAGUUUGAGAUCGAUGAUAGAGUUUUUCUUAAGGUUUCUCCUUGGAAAGGUAAUAAUUUGAAUGCUUUGUGGUAUUAAGUUUUAUUUGAUUAUAUUAUUAUGGUAAAUUAUGAUAUCUUGUUAGAUAAUGAAAGGUAUGAUUCGAUUUGCGAAGCGGGAAAGCUUAACCCGAGGUAUAUUGGACCAUUCCGAAUCAUUAAGAGAAUUGGACCAGUAGCUUAUCGAUUAGAAUUACCUCCGGAGUUAGAUCGGAUCCACAACGUUUUCCAUGUCUCCAUGUUUAAGAAAUAUGUACCAGAUCCCUCUCACAUCCUCAGAGCACCUCCGAUCGAGUUGCAUGACGAUUUGAAGUUUGAGGUGUAACCUGUAAGUAUCUUGGAUCGAAAGGAUCGAGUAUUGAGGAACAAGAGUAUUUCAAUGGUCAAAGUGUUGUGGAAAAGUGCUCGAAUCGAGGAAAUGACAUGGGAAGUAGAGCAUCAGAUGAGGAACCAAUACCCGCAUCUAUUUGUCGAAUCUGGUAAGUGAAAUUUUGAGGUCAAAAUUUUAUUUUAAGGGGGGUAGAAUUGUAAAACCCGAUCCGAUAAACACAUGUCAUGACAUACAUGCACUGAGUAGCAAGUUAUUAUACUAGAAAAGCACAUAAGAAUAGACGAAACCCGGUAUCGUACUUAACGGUACACUAGAGUUGAUUUAACCUCGAACUAAUUCAAAUAGGAAUUGUAAGAUGAAAUAUAAUAUUUUACAGUCCUGGAAUGACUAAAAUUGAUUGUUCGGAGUUCGAGGGUUCAUUUAGGGUAAAAUUGGAAAUUUUGAUGUUAAGGGGUAAAAUCAUAAUUUUACCACCCGUGGACAAAAUUUGAGAUUUUGAGAGAAUUUAGAUCACAUUUGACAAAUUGGAGAAUGGCAUGAGUAUAAGGGAUGAAAGAUAUGUCUAUGGGCAAUUUUUUAGUUUUUGGGGUAAAAAUGUAAUUUUUGACUUUUUCGGGGGCAAAAGUGUAAAUUUCAAAAAUUACUCCACCAAGACUUUGGAUAAGUCUGAGAAUUUUAUCUAAGUUAUGGAUAUGUACGACAAGUGUAUGGUGAAAAUUUGGAAACAAAUGGAUGAAAUUUUAAAAACGGACCAAUGGGAAAGUGACACAUGGCAUUUUUUAAAUGGUUUAAUAUUAUUUUAAUGAAAAGUUAGUCCAUCUAAGCCCCAUUUUAAGUGAUGGCCAGCCAUAAGGGAGAACAAGAGAGAAAAUAGAGAGGAAAGGAAGAAAAAAAGAAAAACCAAAGAGAAACAAGAAAAUUCAAAGGGAAAUUCACGUUUUUCGCCCGUUUAUGCCUAACGGUAAGAUUUUUCGACUUUAGCUUGAUUUCUACCUUUCUUAUGCCUUUUUUUCCAUUUAGCAUGCUUGAGGAGAGAGAUCUAAAAGUGACAUCAAGGGCUGGCCGAAAUUCUAGGUGAGAGAAAUUGAAAUUUUUAGGUUUUGAUUUUUAGUUAAAUUGAUAGUUUUAGUUAGUUAAAUGUGUUUAGAAAUUAAAUUGGACAAGAAAGCAUUAAAUUUUCACAAUACCCACCCUUGGCCGAAUCUGCAAUGAGGUACAAUGAUGAUAAUCUGAUUUUUAUUCUAAGAGAAAUGAAGAGAAAAUGAUGAAAAAUGGUUAAAUGUGAUAGAAAAACAAAGUGGAAAAUUAACCGAGUUAAUGUCCCAUUUUUGGCUGAAUUUUCCAAGGACAAAAGUGAGCUGAUUUUGGUGAUUUUAGAGGGAUAUUGGCUGAUAAUUAAUGGUUAGAAAUGUUGGAGAUAGAAUGGGACAAUUUAGAGCUAAAAUGGACCGCGUUAGCAAUUUAUCGGGUAAAAUGCCAAAAAUAGGUUAAUAUCGCGUUUAAGUCGUUUUUGGCUAUUGCAUUUCAUACCAUGCAUUAGUAUAGGAUUUAAGUCAAAUAUAUAGUGAUUUAGCAUUAAUGUGAUGAAUUGAGUAAAUUUUUGCAAUGUGUCUAGGAUGAGAGCCUUCUGGUAAAAGCAAGAAAAUUGUACUCGACGAGUAGUUAUCGGGGCACCUAGAAAGCUUUUAGUUUGUAGAAAAUGUGAGUAAACUUAUUAUUAUUGUAAAUUAUCUAGAGUUUAUUUUUAAAUGCUCUUUAUGUAUUUUAUGGAAUGAAAACGAGAUUAAAACGGGAUUUUUGAUGUUUUACAAAUAAAUGUGACAAAUAAAGAUAUAUUGUGUUGAUUAUGAAAUUGAGUAAUUAGAGGCUACCAAUUGUCUUGAAAAAUAUAUUUUCUUAUGAAUGGCUUAUGAUAUAUGAGUAUAUGUGGCUAUAUUUUAUAAUUGCAUUAGGAAUAGAAUGUAAGUUGUCUUUUACUAUGCAGGCUGGAUAAAUAAAUAAAAGCCACGUUAUACUGUCGAAAUUUUAUUAAAAUUGGUGGGUUUAGUCACUACAGUGACGGGUUUCCGUGGAUUGCCUAUUAGAGGGGCACGGUAAACUCGGUUUCAUAGUUACUCUGGGUUUAAAGGCGAGGAGGGUAACUCUCGGGGUAGUGUUAGAGUUUAUUUCAUGUCGAACCCCCAUGUGAAUGUGUAACUCAGCCAACGCCAAGGAACGACUUGUUUUCAAAACUAGAAUGUGUUUAACAUGUAAAUAUCUUAACAACCUUGGCGGACUCAGUUAGAUGCCUCGGCCAAGGUAUCCUUGAGGACUAGAUUUUGGCUUGAGCCAUGUUUUUAAUAAAGGUUAUAAGCCUUGACAGCUAUUUUGGUAAAUUACAAAUGUUUUAUGGUUUAAGAAAGAAAUUGAAAACCUUAUGAAAUGGUUUGUGAUUUGUUGUUUAAACUUGCCUCCAUUUUACUCGCCUUUAGAUAUUUAUGAUAAUAUUUGUUUACUCAUUGGGAUUGCAAAAUCUCACCCACCUCCUUUCCAAACAUUUCAGGCCUGUGGUAGCUUAUAGAUAUCCGAUUUUGUCGAGGAUUCCAAUUGACUCCUCUAUCCCACAAACAGUAGGUUACUAUCACCAAUACUGGGUAUAUUUAUGGGCCACUUGUCAUUGUAAUUAUUAUUGUACAUUAUAACUUUGUAAAUUAUUGUAUGUAUGAAUUUAUUUUAUUCUCACACUACAAAAAUUAUUUAUGUAUAGUUCUAUAAAAAUUGUUUUAUAAGAAAAUGAAAUAUAUUAUCAAAUAUUUUUAUUUAGUUUAAUUAGCCAACGUUUUACUCUAAAUGAAUGAUUUAGAUCACAAAAAUUUAUUUUUAAUCGGUAGUGGAUAUUUUUCUACCAUACGUUGUAUCUUUAUCAGGUUUCCAAAUUUUUUGGUAAAAAUGACCGAAAUACCCCUAUGUGGCGAAAAUUUUAUUUUGAUUGUUUUCGAUCUAAAAUAGUUUAUAUUUUCUUAAAACUCGAUAUUUAACAACGAUUGCUCACAAGAAAGGCAAGAAACUGAUUCGUUAGCCUUGUGGGGUUCUGAUUGGCAUUCCGGAUAAUGAGUGUCAAUCGGGAUGUCGCGGCAGUUGUCAUGGGUCCGAGGGAGGUUCUGGGUCGUGACAAAAGGUCUCUGUGUUGGUUGAAGAAAGCAUUUAAAAUAUAUUUAAUAGUUGUUUGAGCUAUUUUGUAUCUCUAUGUGAGUUAAAAUUCUAUUAUACAAGUAUACGUAUUGAAUAGAUAGUACAUAAGCAAACAGAGUAUUGAUCCCACAGAGAAUUGAUCUAAAAUUUUAUUAAGUACUAAAAUUAUAACAAUUUAAUCUUAUCCAAACAAUCAAAAUUAAUUAAUUAACUAAAACUGAUUAACCAAAAUUUAAACUAAAAAGAAAAAUCAAAGUAAUAAUAACUUGAGUAAAGAUCAAAUUUAUAUCUUAACUAUUGAAUAGAUAGUAAGAUUGCAAUAUCCCUUACACUUCAUCUAAAUCUUAACUCUCUUCCUUAACUUAUUUCAAUGGGUUGAAUUGCCAACCUAGAGUCCUUAAUUAUUUAUAAAGGUCUUUCGACUCAUCUUAUAAGAAUAUCUAUUUUAACCAAAACACCAUACCCUUAUGUGAAUUCAAAUUAAAACAGACUCAUUAAGUUCAGUUUAUAAUCUAGCUACAUAUGGCCUGUCGGUAUAUCCCUAUCCUAUACGCAAAUUAAUUAAUGUGAUCAUAUGCUAUUCCAAUUUUAGUCUACACUAAACUCCUUUUCCCAAGUUUGUUUAGGCUCCUAAAUCAAUUUAAUUGAUGAUCAAGCAAUUAAAAGCAUUAAGAACAAAUUGGAAUAAACAAUUCCAAUCCCAUUAAAGAUAAGCAAGAAAGAGAUUAAAAUUUUAGAUUACAUGUGAGUUCAAUUGCAAUCCUAGAAAAAUAAAUUUAACUCAUAAUAUCUAAUAAAAACUUCAUCCAAAGAAAACUAGCCAUUAAUCCAAGUUAAAGAAAAUAAGAAAAACACAAAAGUAAAGAGAGAAAUUAAUAGUUGGAGUUUUUUUAUCUUGAUUCUCCCUCAAAUUCUCUUAUUUUCUUCCUUUGUUCUUGGCUUCCAAUCUCUAGUAUAGUUGCUUGUUGUCUCACUCUUUAAACUUCUGAAAAGGGUCCCUUAAAUAAGCUCCAAGUAACCUAAUUUCCAAAAUCUCGUCAAAUUUUUAUUUUUGGAAAAUCACCUAGACCCGUAACACUACUUCUUCAGCACUGUGGCACUGAGCUCUCAGGAAAAUUUGUUGUGUGCUUCCUUUCACUAGCACUGCAGCCUUGUUCUCCCAGUGCUAUGACUGUCUAUCAACUUUUAAUGUGAUUUUCACCUUGAUUUGAUUUGAACUAGGCAAAGUGGUAAACAUGAAAGUUUUAGCCCUGUCUCUUAACUUUCCAAUGGCUAAGAAUCAUGUCAAUUGGACUUUUGGAUUGAAAGAUAUGAUCCAAAUACCGCAUCAUGUUCAGUCCAUGCAUACUGCUGUAGUGCUCUGAAUUAUACAAAUAUUUUGACCACGAUCCGAUUAGAAUUGGGUAAAGUGGUAAACAUAAAAGUUGUAUCCCUUCUUCUUAGAGUUCUAAUGGUCCAAGAAUAACUUCAUUUGAAAUUACGUAUUUUCAUCAAAUUUCCUACAAAAGCAAUACAAAAAACCAGCAAUAACAACUCUUAAAGAAAUUUAAAACAAAAUAACAUAAAAUUUAACUAAAAUAACUUAAAUUAACUACUCAACAUGUAAUCAAACUUAACUAGAAAACACCUAAAAUGCUAAAAUCCAAAUAUAAAAUCUCAAAAGUCUAGCUACUUAAACCCCCAAAAUGUGUCAAAAUAACUCUAUAUAAUAGAGUUAUCACUCUACUUGUUAAUGAGGUGACUAAAGCUUAGCCCAAGUUCUUAACUAGCUAAAUGUACUAAGCUUGAGUUUUCUCAUAACAUAUCUCCGGUAGGCUUUUAAAUAUGCUUGUUUUUAUGCCACUUAAAAACAAGUUUAAUUUGGGUCCUUGACUUCCUUGGAAUGUUAAAGAUAUUAUCAUAUUGAAAAGGUGUUUGGGAAUCUUUCACGUGUUAAAUGUGAAUAUGCAUUCCUAAUAUGAUGAUAUACAAUUGAUAAGCUUUAGGUUUUUAGAUUUUGAAAUUUUAAUUGAUCAAAAAUAAAUUUCAUUUUUUCCCUAAAACUACUUGACAGUUCUAAGUCUCUUUAGCAAGUGUUUGAAAGCAUUAUACUCAGUUGUGCUGAAUGUGAACUCUUCCUAUAGUGAUGCCAACAUUGAAUGGUCAAAUGGUCAAUCUGUUUUAAACUGAUAUAGUUAUAGGCUUUUGCAGUUUAUGGUUUAGUGGUUUUCUUAAUUUAAUUUUAAUUGUCAACCUAAUAUUUGAAAUCAUUACUUUCAUGAAAUUACCACACUUUAUCGCUUUUUACUCUUCUCCUAUUUUAGAAACUUUUGGAGACAAGCCUUUUUACAGAAGUUUUUAGGCCUUUCAAGGUCAAGGUUUGGACUACUGUGACUUUUAACUGAGGAAAAUGCAUUAAACUCUUUGCCAAUUGUUUGAUAUAGAGUGUUAUGCUUAAGCUAAUUUCUUCAUAUGACUGCACAUUAUUGGUCAUGUUAAUGAGGAGGCCUUUCAUCAAUAUGCAUUUCCAUCUAUCUAAUAGAUUGCAUAAUGAGAUUUACAAAUAUUUCCACUUACUGUUUUAAAUUUGCGAGACCUUGAUUUUAAUGGACUCGUAACUAGAAGUAGAAGUGAUAACACAGACUAGGGGUAAUUUCGUCAUUUUCUAUAGUGAGCUCUUAAAAUGGGUUUGCUAAUAUUAUUAAGGCCUAAGUAGGACUAAGGAAAAAUGAAUGAUGAAAAUGAGGAUAAAAUGAUGAAGGAAAUAGAAAUAAUGAUGAUUUCCAAGGUAGGGGCAAAAUGGUCAUUUUUCAUCUCGGGUUUAAAUUAUUAAGUUUUUGUGAACUCGAGUAUUUCUAAACUAUUAUGGACUUUAUCUUAGUGUCGAAAGAGUAAAAAGAUUGCACAAAGGAUUGGAGGAAGACAAAGCUAACUUGUUAAAGGCAUUUUCAUAAUUUAAGUAAAGUUUGGAUAAGCUUUAGCUAUAAAUAUCAUUUUCCAGCAGCUUCUUCUCAUUUUCUAGCAGCUUCUUCUUUUUCUUCCUCCCAUCUCACGCUUCUUUCAUCCUCCAUGGAAGCUUGUUUUGAAACUUUCAUAAAUUCUCUCAAGUUAACCUCAAUUUUCAUGCUUUUGUGCACUUUUUCAUAGAACCUUUUGUGCUCUUUCACUUUCACCUUAAAACCCUUAAAAAGUCUUACCUCUAUACUUCUUUUCACUAGCUAGGUGUUUUAGAGAGAGAAAGAGGGGGCUUCUAUAAUAGCUUAAAAAUUUUUGGAAAGGAAUUCAAUUACAAAGCUACCAAGGUGAGUAGUGAAUUAGAGUUAAUUUUUAAGUUGUUGAGAAUGACUAGUGGAUAGAUUUGUGAAUGUUUUGUAGUUGAGGUUAUUUAUUCAUCUUUAGUGUGAUUAUAAUAGAGAAAGUAAAUAUACACUUAAUGGCAAUAGGAAGCUAGUUAGGAAUAACUAGCAGAACAUGAAUUAAGAGAUAGCUUUUAAAAUUAUGGUUAUGUGAAUUGAGUUGAUUUGUGAUGCUAUUAUAUGUGAUAGGUUCCAACGAGACCCCACAUCUCUAUUUGGAACACUAGUGGAAGUUGGAGUUGAUCUAAGAUUCAACAAAUACCAGUGAGUGAACUUGCAUUUCAAAAUAUUUUGGAAAGUGCCUACAUGUUUAACUAAAUCAUUUGAAAGAUUCAUUUGUGUUUGCUUUAAAAAAAAUAUAUACUUGGGGAACAAGCCCUUGAUGAAAUGUUUCUAUCUUGUGAAAUGUGCAAUAUGAAUAUAUAAUACCUCGUACUUUGAUAUGGUGACUAAUUAAAACUUACUGGAUACCAAUUGAGGUUAAUUAUGAUGUUUAGAAAUGAUGAAAGAUGAAAAGAAUAGUUUGGGAUAAAACAUUCUACACUCGAGGAAAUAAUAAUAAAAUAAUGAUAUUUUUUAUUGGAGAAGAAUUUAAGAGAUAAAAAGUGAUUCAAAAGUCAAUUGAGGCCUAAUAAGGUAUUUUGGGUACUAAGGGGACAAGAGGAAAUUUUUGGAAUAAAAUAAUAUUUUAUUAAUAAAAUAAUAUUAAAAUAUUAGUAUUUUAUUCAGUGUCAAAAUUUUUCAUGAGGAAGGAGUAUAUGGUCAAUCUAAGUGGGGGAGAAGAAGAAUGAGAGAAUUUUGGAGAAAAAUGACGUUAAUGGGGCUACGUGUCUUUAUUAAGUAAAGAUAGUGCGAGCAAAUAAAUAUUUUAAAUAUUAUGGGGACACCGCGUUGGAGUACAAACUUCAUACUUUGUUUGUACAUGUGUAGAAGAAGAUAAUAGAAGGAAGUUGGAAUUAAAUGAGUGUUGGGAGCACUAAAUUAAAAUGGAAAGAAACAAAAAGGGUAAAACGGUAAUUUUACACAAAGCUUGGUCAAAGCUUCCAAAGGAAGCUUUGACUCUCAUUCUUAUUAGCCCAAAACAGUCCUCAUCUCAUCCAGCAAGAUGUUUCUUCUUCAUUCUUGAAGCUUCCAACGCCAUUCUCUCAUUUUCCCAUGGAAACUUAAUUUUCUUUCAUUUUCUAUCCUUGUUUUUUUUCCAUUUCUUUUCUCUUCUUGCUUCUUUCCUCUCCCAACUCCUUGUGCACCAAAGUUACAACUUCUAACCCCAAUUCCUAGCACACCUAAACCCUAGGAGGAGAAGAAAGAAAAAGAGAGAAAGGAAGAAAAAAGCUUGGUUUUGGUGAUUCAAGCAAGGAACGGUAAGAAUUCUUGUUUUUGGCUUGAGUAGUUUUUGAAAAUGAGUUAGUGACUUAGAGAAAUGUCUUGUGGCAGCAAAGAUUGGCUUGAUUGGAG